AUCCCUACAAAAUUUUUUAAAAAAGAUCGAUGCUUUUUUAUUAAUACAUGCCUAUAGAUUAUCAUAUCAUGUCAACUAAGACCCUCGAGUGUUAUUUAGUUUAAAACUUUAAAUGUUUUUCAUCUUGUCAAUGUUUCCUUAAUAAUAUGGCACAGCAACACAAUUUUACAUAUUCUACGGGCACAUUUUCAACCAUCAAGGAUUUAUUUGAUACAGAACCAUGAGUUAUGAGUUAUAGUAGCGCUUGCAUCAAUAAAAACCACACUAUACUAUACAUUUGCUAUAAGCAAAAAAAAAGACAGAGAUAAAGAAGAACGACACAGCAUACCAGACUCUUGAGUCCUCUGAAAUGAAUAUCUUAGGUUCAAGCCUCAAGGUUGGUUUGUUGAUUAAAAAACCUUACCGUCCAGUGGGAUUCAGAAUCUCAGAGAAAACACUGUCACACCUUGAAGUUGUCACUGCUUGCCGUGGAUGUCCAAGUUGUAAUACCACCAUCUCAAUCUUGCCAGCAGAAUCUUGAUCGCCUUCUGAUUCAGAAAUCACAUCUGUAUCAUCAUCGGUCAUAUUUUGCACAUCUCCUCCAUGCAUAUGCAAGGGAAAUGGAUCAGGACGACCACCCUCAUUUUCAGCUGCCUCCUGGACUUGCAAUGCAAAUUCAAGGCCACCAACUACAUCAUCCAUUCCCGGUCGUUGAAUCCCUUGAUCUUUCAAACAAUUAUUGGCUGUUUCAGCAAAAAUCCUCAAACAUUGGGGAGCAAUCUCGCCCUUCACAUCUGGGUCUACAACUCGAUGGAUAAUCCCUUUUUUGUAACACCUCUUGGCCCAUUCAGCCAAAUUCACCUGCUCCUGGGGUAAGUCUAGAAUAAUAGGUGCCCGACCACACAAAACUUCAAACAAAACCACCCCGAAUGAGUACACAUCGGACUUGUCCGUCAAUUGCUGUCUCGUGUAGUACUCCGGAUCUAUGUAGCCAAAACUCCCCUUGACCUGGGUGCUGAUAUGGCUGUAAAUCCCACUCGGACCAAGUUUGGAUAAUCCGAAAUCCGAAACUUUGGCCACCCAUGCCUCGUCCAAUAAUAUGUUGGUUGACUUGACAUCGCGGUGAAUGAUAGUGUGCUUGGUGCCUGUGUGGAGAUAAUCCAACCCUUUGGCGGCGCCAAUGCAGAUUUGAAGGCGUUGUUUCCAUGGGAGCGGUGGAUUGUCUGUUCUAUAGAGAUGAUCGCGGAGGGUCCCAUUAGCCAUAUAAUCGUAAACCAAGAUCAUCUCACCCUUUUCAUCACAGUGGCCUAUCAAAGAAACCAAAUGAAGAUGUCUUAAAUUUGAUAGCAUCUCGAUCUCGGUUUGGAAUUCGCGGGCACCCUGUCUUGAUGAAGGAUUUAAUCGCUUUAUAGCAACCGUGGUUAGAAUGUUGUCUAUGUACCCUUUGUACACGUUUCCAAAUCCUCCGGUUCCAAUCACAAACUUGGCAUCAAAGUUGGCCGUAGCAGAUUUAAUCUCUUCCAGCAAAAAUCUCCUAAGCGACGACGAACCUGGUGCUCCAGUCUUUAUUGACCUUGGCGGGGUUGAAAGUGGGGUCCAAGAUGGCUUUGAAGCACUUUUCUGCUCCACGUCUUUUAUCCCUCUCUUCCAUCGCCACCGGAAAAACAAGAAACCAAUGAUUAAAACCAUGGCAGCCCCUCCUGCUGCCCCUCCUGCGAUGGCAGCAAAAGGUACUCGAGAUUUUCCACGACUCCCCUUGGGAUCAUGAUUGGUCCCGCCAAGACUGCCGUUGGUGUUAUUCAAUUUAAACAAUUCUAAGCCAUUCAAGAUCGCAUCGGCAUAUUUUGGUUCAACGUCAAGAUUUGGGUACAGAGCAAGAAACAAGCCUUGCUUGGUCUGGCGACCCUCUGGUGGGUUUGGAACGAACACGAGGUAGUCUCUGAGAACUGGGAUUCCUGGGCCGCCUGCCCAAUGUAUAAGAUCGGCAACUGGCUCAGCUGUUAUGUUACUAAUAAAUAUUAUGAACACCCGUUCGUAAUCCGCUGCAAUCAAAUCAGGAUUAAUCUCACAAAAAUGCAACCUCAUGAGAUAAUAAAACCCAGAAUCAACAGGAAACAUCCAGCUCAAGUUGAAGCGGGUGCUGAACUUUCCCAUCGCCCUGGCAGUAGCAUAAACAACUGGGGGCGCGGUGUAAUUUGGGGUCUGUGGAGUGUACUUGAUGGCAAUUUCAUUAUUGCUCAGUGGAUUUCCUUCAUCUUCGCCCCAGAGGAAAUUGUAAUCUGAAGCCCAUUCCCGGAACAUCCCACUAUCGUCCACCACAGAAACAUCUUGGCCUCCUACGUUGAGCCUGUAAAGAGUUUCAAAGGCAGUCUUAUCCUGAUCAAACUCGAACUGGCCAUCCACGACUUUGAGGGGAUCAGUGUUGCCCAUGUAGAGAUCGUCUGGGGUUGAAACAAUUUCAAUUCCAUUAACGAAAGCAUAGGAAUUUGAAGGGGGAAAAAAGGUAACAUUAAGGAAUUGAUUCAUAUCCUGAACAUUGAUGACAUAUUCUUUUUUAACAAAGGGUGGUGAGAAUCCCUCGCUAGAAACUGUGAGAUAUGCGCUAAAGUUACUGAGAAGGUUGUAGUUAUUAGCCGUGACAUUGAAGAAAGACUCAGUUGUGUUGAGACCGCCGGAGUACGAGGUAGGGUAGAAGUAAAGGCGGAGGAACUUUUUGCCUAGGCUGACAGGGAAGGUGUAAGAGAAUUGAGAACGGAUGAUUCGGGCACUUGAAAAAGGGGCUCGGCUGACUGAGGGGCCUAGCUCAGUGGCUGUGACUGCUGAUGAAAUAUUUGCCAUGUCGUUCGGUGAGAAUUUUGAGCCCACGUCGCCGUCCCAUUUCCGGCCAUCAACUGAAGUUGAAUUCGAGGAUGAGCCGCAGCUGAUCAGGAUAUAAUCUGUGGGGGUGUAAGGCGGAGUACUGCCAGUGGAAGCGAUGACUAACAACAAAUUGAAGAGAAAGCAGAGGUAUACAAGAAGAGUGAACAUUAGAGCAAAGACUUGCAAGAAAAAAUAUAUAUAUAUUUUUCGGCUCAAAUGUUCUGAUGGAAAAAUUGGUCGUUAUUCCAUUGAAGCGUAGGAUUGGGAUUUCACCAUUUGUCUUUAAAAAAUGUUGUGGAAUUUAAAGUCCCCAAUUCAAAUGAAGAAGGGAACGGUAGCAGAAUUAACAUCAUGAAGUGAGGAUGGCAUUGUCAAAAUUAACUCUCUAAGUUGUUAAAAUGAACUCUCUAAGCGUGGACUUGUUAAGUUGGAAAAGUCAAGUCAUUGGGCAGAUUUAAUGCGUCAAGUCAUUGGGCCAAUAAAAUGCACGCGUAUAGAUUUAUUCUCCCAAAUAAAGCUUAUGGAAGCAGCUGCACCUUGGCAAAUAAUUAGUUGCACUUCUCUCUUUUUAAUUUCAAGCAGAAGUCAUCAAGAUUUGCAUUAAAUCUGCGUUUUCUUGAUCUAAGCUUACAUGAUUAAUCGAUGGUUAUGUAACCUAGAAUUAUGGAGCAAAAUUGGCUUAGAAGUAUGAUGCAUUCUCUUGGUAAUUUUAUUUUAUUUUUGAGAAAAUGAUCCAAAAUUUCACUUUUCAAACCAUGCAAAACUUGCUUUAAAUUUUGAAAACAUACCAAUAGCGUUCCAUAACCCAAUUUCGACCAAGUUUCUGGCAAAAUGGAAAAAACAUGCGCAUUAUAUCAAAUUUCGGCCAAAUUUCAACCACAUGCGCAUUAUAUCAGGUGCAAAAUGGAAAAUCAAAAUUCUUCCCAAUCAAAACUCAAAGAGAAAAUGAUGAAUUUCAUCCCCUUAUAUUUUUGCAAAAUAUUUUUUUCCAUCGCACAUAUUUAAAGCUUGUAAAAUCUAUACCCUUACAAGUUGAAGAUGUACUACUAAUUUCCUCCAAAAAAAUGAGUUUUUAUCAACUUUUAGGUAAAGGGUAGCAUACCCUAGUUUAGGUUUGCAAACGAAUCAAACCGCUCGUAAGCUGCUCAAGUUAAAACUCGACUCGAGUUUGGUUGAUAUUGAACUCAAUUCGAGCUUGAGGUGACCAAGUCAAACUCGAGUUCAAAGAUACUUAGUUCACUAACUCGCGAGUCGACUCGAUUAUAUAAAUAUUUAUAUUAAUAGUAAAAUUACAUAUAUAUCUCUAAUAUUUUAUUAUUUGUUAAAAAAUUAUUAUUUUAUUCAUUUUUUAAAAAAUAAAAUAAAUUUUUUUUUUUAACCAUGAGGUUUGAGAGUUCGUCGAGAUCAAACUCGAAUUCGAGUUUGAUAAAACUAAGUCAAAAUUCGACUCAUUUCGACUCGACUUGUUUGCAACUCUAACCUAGCUACAUUACAAUAUUUCAAGGCUGUUAAUCAACUAAAUGACCAAAACAAAAGCAAAUAGCGAAUUAAACCUCGUUGCUUCGCUGACGGAUACAUGUUUCAUUAUGUGAAGGAAAUAGUAAUGCAUAGCCACCAAGCCAGAACAAUUCGACUGCAAAUUGUUGAUGUAGUAAUUUAUAAAAGCUAGAUAAAAUUCUUCUAUGUUUCAAUGAUGUUUACUUUUUUUUUUGGCUUGCUCUACUUUUAUACAGCUCUCAUCUGUUGUGUUAUCAACAGAUUCAUAGACGAAUUUGUCCUGUUCCAUGGGCUUGAUUAUAUUUUCUUCAAAUAAUCAACAUGCAAUAACUAGUGAAGCAACGAGAUUCUAGCGCGACAUCUACUUUUGUCUUCGUCAUUUGGUUGACUAAUAGGCCUUGAGAUGAUUUACAAUUGAUUUAGAUUUGGUUUUGGGAUGAAAUUGGUACAUGUUCAAAAUGACAGGGAUGGUUUUGCAUUCUUUUAAAUGUGAUGGAUGAAAGAAAAUAUUUUCAAAUAUGUGAGGGACAAAGUUGGCCAUUUCCUCAUUUAAUUUUAGAGGGGAAGAGUUUUACCUUUCGAUUUUGCCCCUAAUAUAUUAAGCGCGUGAUUGGGGUAUGAAAUUCUUAGCUGGAGAGUUGAUCGAAUUUGAUUUAUGGGACUAAAGUGGUAUAUUUCCAAAAUAUAAGCAUUAUUUUAUGAAUUAAUCUUCUAUACACUGACAGCGUAUACACUUUCACCAUUAGAAGUAUGACAUGUAAUCCGAAUUUGAAUUUAAAAUUCGAAUUUUACAUAUGUAUCGUAUAUCCAAUCAUGAUAGUAUAUACAUCGUCAGGGUGUGACAGCCCCACUUUCCUCUAAGGCGAACCAAAGGGGUUAGUGGACUGCCUGCCCAGCUCUCGCCAGGACUAGCGGUUCAGUUUAAAGCGAUCUAAUACGUUCCGGAAUAUACAAACGCGCGUAAACAAGUCAAAAUCGCAAAUAAAUAAAAAAAAAUGAAAACGGGGUCGGCCAUGAAUAGUAACCAACACGUCAAAAUCCAACCAAGCAUCACUCAAAUAUAUACAUCUUGAAAUUUAGCAUAUACAAUCCAAAGUGGCAUACAAAAGUAUUCAAAAGUUGAUACAUGUACGGUUUGCCAAAUCAAAAGAGAAACGGACCCAAAAGUACAUUUAGGGUUUCAUUCAAUGAGCUAUACAAAAGAUAUGUCCAUCUAGCUCAAUUCGGCAACCAACUAUCAAAUCCAGUCCAAAAGUAUUUAUUUUCCUGUAAGGAAAACAAAAGAGACAAAAAGGGGUGAGCUUGCGCUCAAUGAGGUACCAGACACAUAGCAGUAAAAUCAUGGCAUUUCACAUUUAACAAAUCAGGUACACAUGCCAGAUGUAAGUAAAGGAACCAAUGAUUCAAAUAGGAAGGAUAUAGGUGGCUCUCAGGAGCCAAAUUCCCAUUCGCGUCACCGAAGCUUGAUCAAAAUAAUAGUUUACACUCCGUCAACGUUAAAGGAGUAACCAAUACCGUAGACCCCACUUUCUCCGAUUCCUUCCACCUCACAUACCCCUACCGGGCCCGAACUCCAAUCAGAUCAGAAAUGGUAAUACUCGAGUAUACCCGGAAUCAAGGGUCUCAAUACCCAAAGAUCCCAAAACAGACUACCGUGGUUCGUUAUCUAAUCGACCAGGCCCUUGCCGGCCCGACUCGAGUAACUAGCCACAGGGGUUGAGCUCAGAGGUCACAGAAAGGUUGUUGGAUACAAGUUUCCAAACGACGUCCGGACAGAUACAGAUACAGAUAUCAGAUACAAUACAGAUUCAGAUUCGCACCCAAAAUUGGCAUAUGAACAGACAAGAGAACGAGUGUGAUAAAGUACACUCUCGUCUCUUACAAAUUAAACAGAUAGUGUAGUCAUUUAAAUCACAUAUUGCAGGGCAGAAAUCAAGUUAAACAACAAUUGAGGGGAGUGGUACACUCACCGGUCCAAGUACGGAUACUUCCAAAAGGUUUCACUUCAAACUGGCUUUAAUCGCCAAGAAACCCUAAACGAACCAAAGUAAAACAAUUAUGGUUCCCACUUUCACGAAUCCAGUACACGAAAUGCAUACCUAAAACUUAACUAUAAGUCGUGUGCCUGAUCACAUUAGCUACCAGUGCAAAGAAAUAACAAUGAAAUUGGAGAAAAAGGUAGCGGUUAGUAUCAAAACAUGAACAACCCGAAAACCCUUCGCUCAAGUCACAAGUAAAUCCAACUAGCAUUCAAGAAAAAAAAUUUCGGCAGCAAGUCCCUUGUGUUUACCUAUUUUCCAGCCAUUAAUGGCUUCAUUAUUUCCUCAAAUCAGUCCCAAUAUCUCAUACCAAAAAUAAUCUCAUUUCCAAAAACCGUUCACUAAGAUUAAAGUCAUUCAAGUACAAAAUUUAGCUAGAAAAAUGACCGGAAACGAAAGUCAAGCCCUAAAACUACUCAAAUAAACACAAUAAGACUCGUUUACAAGUCAUAAACCAAUUCCAGUUAUCACCAAAAAUAGAGCUCCAUAAGCAUACAUAAGCAUUAGAGGAAACCAGAAAAAUCCGGAAAUGCAAUUAGCUUUGCCCUGAAAAAAAAACAAUUUUUAACCUCAUUUUGCGGUAAUGGCACCAAAGGCACUACAAUUAUCGGAUGAAGGUGCAAGACCCACCAUUUCGAAGCUAAGAAACAGAGCUACAAUAUUGAAGAAGGUCACUCAGCCCAGUUCCGAGUGAAAACAGAUCAAAAAUGCAAGAUACUACACUAGAACCGCAAAAACAGAUUCACAAACCACAUUCUGCUGCAAACAGCAUAAAUCAACCUACUUAAGUCUAAAUCCAGUAAUUCCAAAGCCAUCCAAAAGCUUAGAAACAGGGAUACAUUUCAUCAGAAGACCUCAACAACCAAUUCGGAAGCAUUCUCAACCAAAAUAACCCAUUACAGAAGCAAUUCCCAAUUUCGGGUAAAACCAGGACAGCAAGGGUAAUUUCGAUUUUUCUCAAGCUACGCUACUCCGAUUGACCUGAAAUUUUGUAGGCACCUCUAAAAUGUCAUUCCCUACAACUUUCAUGUUUUAAACCAAGGCCAAUUCGGCCUCUAACUAUGAGCUACAAAACCGGGCAGAAUGUAAUUCCAAAAACCCUAACUUUUCAAUUUUUCUUCCAAACAGAAAUUGCUCGCAAUUAUCCACUUUUUCCACCUCCUAGAUGCCUUAAAUACCAUUUCCAAUCAUCAUACAUAGCCUCACAAUCAUAUUCAUAUGAAAACAGAAAAAUCCCCAAUAAUUAGAAAACUUCAUCAAUUCAACCAAAAAUCAAGAUUUAAUCUAUAAAAUUGCAUCUUAUACCACCACUAAUCAUGAAUUAAGCAUCAUAAGAGGGAGGAGAGUGGUUCUUCACAACUCACCUUAGAAACAAGAGAGAGAGAGCUACUAGUCCUCUUAGCUUUCCAAAUAACUUCACCAAUCACUUCACAAUCACUAAGUGGAGGGGUUUUAUGGAGUAAUUGCAAGAUCAAAUGGUUGGAUGGUUCAACUUGAGCAAGAUUGGAGCAAAACUUGAAGAGCUUUUCUUUCUUUUGGUGCUUGAGAAAGUCGGCCAAGAAGGAGAUAAAGAUGGUGAAUUUUGGUUAUUUUUUUUUUGAUUUAUUUGAUCAAAUGGUAAAAGGUGAAUAAUUGUCCAACAAGUCAAUCCAAUCAAAUGGUGACACUUGUCACCUCAUUAAUGCAUCUCUAUCUCUUUGUUCCCUCUCACUCCAAUCCAUAAGGUAUUCUCUAAUUAUCUCUUAGCACCCGAUAAUUUAAACCCAGUAUCCAAAACUUAAUCUAGUUGGUCGAAUUUUUCCGAAUUUUCCGCACUAGCGGGUCCCACGUCCGAUAUAUACUCUUAAUUUCUCAAAACCUAUUCGAUACUAGAAAAAUCAUCCAAAAACUAUAUCUGCUCAUUAAAAAUAUCUAGAAAAUUUUCCUACUAAAGAAAAUGCAGAAAACAAGCCAUUAAAUAAAUAAAACCCUAGAAAAUGGUAAAAGUACGGGUUCUCACACAGUGUAUAAAAGAUUUACUCUUAUUUUAUAUGAUUGUAAGUGUGGGGAACGAAAAAAUCUUUUCUGAAAAAAUAAGGGACUAAUUGGGUCUUUUUUUUUGUAUUUUCGGGCGAAGGUGCUUGGUACAAAAAUCUUUUUACCAUAGCUGUGAGAAUGAAAUUAAUAGGAGGAUUUACAUUUCAUUGAUCAGAACUUGAUUUUGGGGUGCAGAGAUGCUGAGAACAUCCAUGAUAAUUUAGCAAGAAAGAAGGAAUAAGGACAUAGAAGUUUUCUCCUUUCUAGUGGUCUUUUGAGCAACGCUACUUUUUUUAAAUUCAAAUGAUCGUCAUUUUUAGAGGACAAUUGUAAGUUAUCUUUGAAAUUAUAAUGAAUAAAAUUAUCUUUUUCAAUUGAAAAAAUAUCAAAUUAUACUGUAAACAUUAAAAAUUAUUAUGCAUAUCUUGGUUCAGGUGCUCAUUUCCCUUUAUCAUACAAUGUAAAGGAAUGGUCUGUCCUUUGGAACAUCCAAUAAAAUUGGAACGAUAUAGAGAAGAUUUGCAAAGACUAUGCAAGGGUGACACACAAAAAUGAGAAAAAAAGGAUGGUCUAAUUUUUUAUUGGUGUUGGUUGUAGGGUUAGGUAUUAAAAUACAACUCGAAAAAAGAUUGGUGGAUAAAAUCAAAUGAUGCGUGAAUAGUAGAGCACACUUAGCAAUUUCCGUUCUCCUGGGCAUUGGUCUCCAAAAGAAUUCAAAAAGCUCUUCAACCUCUACCCCCCAAAAAACAAAACUAAAAAUAAUCCCUUAAUGGCAGAAGAAAUACCAACACGAGUUGAUUUACAAGUUACAACUCAUCGGAUCUACAAGUUACAACUCGUGGAAUUAUGUACUUUUGAUUUUAAAACUUUAAUCUUAAUUACAUGACUAUACGGUCCAUCAUCUGCAAUCAAGUCUUGUGGUGCAUGUACCAACAAACUUGCAAUCGCUAUACGGUCCAUCAUCUGCAACUAUAUAUAUAUAUAUAUAUAUAUACCAAUUCACCGUUGAAUUAUUAUAAAUAUCCAAACCAAAAGCAAUUAAAGUCUUAUAAUACUCAAAUAUUGGUAAAAAUGCUCUCUUUAAUAUGUUUAUAAGUGCAUAGAUAAGUGUUAAAUACAAGAAAAAAAUCAUUCACUUGACAGGAGACAACAAAGCAACCAAUUAGUUUGAAAAUUUUGGGAUUAGCUUCCCCUCCCCGUGAACUGAUAGAAGACCAGCUUUCAAAAAAGAUUUACCAACCGUUUGGUUGGUGGGUUUUCAAAAAAGAUUUGCCAUUGAAGAAUUUUUUAUAGCCAUUGCUACUGCUAUUCCGUAGUGUAUGCCAAACAGCUGGUUAGAUAUGGCAACCAACCCGCUCGGGUAGGAGAAAUGAGGCAGGGAUGGGAGUGGGGGAUUUUUUUAACCCUCAAAUGGGGCAAGGGAUGGGGGAACAUACCACGCUCCAUCCCUCGUUUAAAUUUUGACGUAGUAUAACAUCUAUGUAUGUUUAUGUAUAUAUAUAUACACACACACAACUAGAAGGAAUCAGGCUGUGCAAGCAUAGCUUAGCCCUACCUAUAAAAUUCUGGUUAAAAUGCAUCACAUCAUAAUUUGCUUUCAAAUAAAGAGCAAUUACAAUUCCUAAAAAAUAAGGUUUAUUUUUAGCAGAAUGUUUCAAAAGUUUGCUCCAACUUGCUUAUUGUAAUGUAGUAGAGAUAUAUUGUUGUAUUGUAUGGACAAAUAACAAUAAAGAAUUUAAAAACCAAGCACAUGAAAAAUGCAAAACCAGUUCAAUGUUAACAUAAAUGGUAUAUGCUUCAUGAAACUCAAACAUCAUGCUAUUAUAAUUACAAAUGCAUAAAAUUUCACCACUAUUUCUUUUCAAACAAGACACCAUCAAGUAAAAAUUCCCAUCCUACAAUUUCACAAUAAAACUUGGAAGAAAUUGAAAUGGAAGGUUUUUCAAUGCAUAAAAAGGGUACAAAAAUUUAGUACCAAAGAAUUACUAGAUGAAGUGCUAGAUUCAAUUAUGCAUUGAAAAGGAACUAAAACAUCAGAAAUGCAAAACAAAAAUUUUACAUUUAGAUUCAAGACAAAUCUCACAAAAGGAGAAUUGCCUUGCAGAACCAAAAUAAUUGAAGGCUUAAUGAAUAUCAAGGAGAUCAAGCCAAAAUAAAUAAAUACAUCAUGGUAACAGGAUAAAGAAACUAUACUGAGAACUUGAAUAGUUGGGAUAGAUCAAAAGUGGGGAUUGAAGGUUGGAGGCAUAUUGUAAUUGCAUCAUCAAAAUACCACAAUUGGUAUAUUUAAACUUUUUCAUGGAGAGCACCACAAAACAGAGUUAUCUUCAUUUAAUUUUGGUUCGAAAUUUUAGUCCAGCUGAAGACUGUCUUUUCAAAAUUUUCCCUGUUUAGACCAGAGAAUUACCAAAUUAGUCAACUCAAUUUUUUUUAAGUAGGAGAGGGGUGGAAUUUGCGAAGCGGGGAGGGGGAAGACGGGGGAAUUGAAUCCAAGACCUUUAAUUCGUGGGUCUAAUCUUAGCUACUAGACUACCUCAACAGUCAACUCAAUUUAUUAUACAUGCUUGAUCAAUUCAGUUUAGUCUCAUGAAGUUUCUUCAGCUUACAGGUAAUAUUUGUUUUGCUUUAUGACUUGAGUAAUGGAUUUUGUGUUUGGCUGCUCCAUUGAUGCAUGAUGGUCAAUCAUCGUUUGAUCAUCAUCAAUGGUGUUCUAUCUCUGCGUCUUCAUGGUUUACUUCAUCAUUUACUGUAUUGAAUUGCACUGCUAGUUAUUGCCUUGAGCAAUAUACACAAACUGUUCUAUUUGCUCAUCGGAUUUCAGUUUUCGACUUUAGGGCUUUAUCCGCAUUGAUCGUUUUGAUCCUAAAACAUGGAUCAUACCUGGUGAUAACUCUAGAGCCUACACACUGGAGGAAGAGCAGCUUUCACCUAGCAGAACUAUUUAUGACAGGGAGAAGAGGAUGAUUGAAAUGAAGACCGUUGCUGAUGUAAUUGAGGCCCUCAUUGGUGUAUUCCUUUGCUCUACCAGUGAAAUAGCAGCCUUAGCGUUUAUGGAGUGGCUUGGUAUUGAAGUUGACUCUAUUUAUGUGCCUUACAUAAGGCCACUCCCUGCAAAUCCAGGGGAGGUGGUCGAUCUCAGAUUUUUCGAGACUCGUUUGAAUCAAUACUCGUUCCAUGAUGCUUCUCUCCUUGCUGAAGCACUUACUCAUGGUUCUUACACGCGACCUGAGAACCCCAGAUGCUAUAAGGUAAUCUUUGCCCUUCCUUUUUCUCAUGUUGUUAACUUGUUAUAAAAGUAAACCAUUCUACUUGUUUUUUCAAACAAUUUAUGAUCUUGUUGGAAAUGUCUUCAGUAUUUCCUCUGUUUAUUUUCUCAACUUGAUUGUGCAUAGAUACGUUUUUUUGUUAUGCCUAACUUUGAUUUCCUGCAAAAUUGUGAAGCACUAAAACCUCAUAUGCUGAAAUAUCUUUUUGGUUCCUUGUCCGGCCUUAGUAUUUUUCCUCAGUAUUCAUUUUAGUGGUUCAAGAUAUAUUGCACCAAAGAGAAGCUGUUUGAUGUGUACGCUGAUAUUAUUUGCUUGCAGAGAUCAGCUUUUUGAAGUCUAGUGCCAUAUUUCAUACUACAAGCAGUGGUAUUAGUUGUACUUUUUAGGUCGCAAUUGAUUAGUUACUUACAGGUUUGCUAGAUCAUUCGAGUCUAUUUGAAUUACCAUAUGUCUUUUGGAGCCACCAGAUGAAAUCAGAAUUAGCUACCACUUUAAGGGGGAAAGGUCGUGUUAUUACUUGUUUAGUUGAUAAUAGCCCUGGAGAUACAUGUCUUUCCUUGAUUAAGUGCAAAACUAUGUUUGUUGGGAAAAUUUACAUAGGAGGGGUUUGCAUGUUCUGGUUCUUCAAUAGCUAGAUUGCUUACAUGAUCCUUAUAUCAUGCACUAGUUUGAAUUUGUCAAUAGUUCCAUAUUGCAGAAGAUAUCACUGGCAUGCCUUCUCGUAAAGAUAUUAUUGUGGAUCUUUCAUGUUUACCUAUGUUUCCAUUUCAAUGGAAUUUGCAGCGUCUAGAAUUUCUUGGGGAUGCGGUGCUGGAUUAUCUCAUCACCAUGCACCUCCAUAAUGAGCAUCCCAAUUUGUCUUCUCGAUUAUUAACCGAUUUAAGGUCAGCUUCUGUGAACAAUGACUGCUAUGCACGAACUGCAAUUAAAGCUGGACUUCAUCAGCACAUUCUACUACAUGAUUCACAACACCUGAAGCGGCGCAUUCUCACUAUUGUUAAAAAUUUUAAGCAAUCAUCACAAGACUCGACUUCUGGGUGGGAGUCAGAGCCAGUAAUCAAGGUAAUCCUCCAUCUUUGAUGUAAAAUAAAAAACAAUCUUUAUUAUUUUAGCUGUGCUAAAUUUUUUUUUUUAUGUUUCUUUGAGUAUUUAGUUGCUAACAACCUCAUAUUUUUCAGAUUCUUGCAGAUAUUAUAGAAUCUCUUGCCGGGGCUAUAUACGUUGAUUCUGGAUAUGACAAAGAGGUUGUAUUUCAAAGCAUAAAGCCACUUCUUGAGCCUCUGGUUACCCCUGAGACACUAAAGCUCCAACCUGGGAGGGAACUGAAGGAAUUGUGUCAGAAGGAGAACUUUGUCAUGAAGGAGGAGGAUGGCAAGCUUGAGGUUAAUGCAAAUGGUGUCAUUUAUGUUUGUGGACUAACUGCAGCAAACAAGAAGACAGCAGAAAAAAUAGCAUCCAUGGGAAUUCUAGAGAUGCUAAAGAAAAAUUAUUACACCAGGGAGAGCCACAUACAACCUUGCCUGUCUUGUGAUAUCAGACAAGUCAGAUAGCCUUAUGGCUGGAUCAUAUAAGAUCCUGAUGAUGUUUUUAUUCCAAAAAAAAAAAAUAAACUUGCUUAUCAUCAUCAUCAUCAUCGGAAAGGUGAUUCAGAUUGUUGGUGUUUUUGUCGCCUUCACGGUUUCCAUCAUAGUACUCUGUAACGGUACUGGUAAAUUAUAAUUUGGAACAAAAUCUUUGCAAACAAAAUCACGAAAUUUGAAUGUGACUAAUUGCAAAAGAAACUUAUUACAAACCUCUGAAAUUAAUGAUGACAAAGGAUUUCAGUGGAAAACGUGAGAGGCAGAGAGUGCAUAUUUCCCGCAGAAGUUCUGUUUUUCGGUCGUGUGGUUAUGGUUAAAAAGAAAAGCAAAAUUAAAUUAGACCAAAGACGACAACCUUCGCACCGUGGAUGGCGUUAAUAGGAACCAUUUAUUCGGUGAAAUUAUUCAUGACAAUGUCGAAUGACCUUUCAUGUUUUAGCCAAUUAUUUUGGCAAGUGGAGAAUUUACUAAAAAUGGGUUGACUCAGUACAAACUGCAAUCAGAGAAGAACUCGUCCAGGUUUAACCCUAAAGAGCAAAAAAAAAAAACAAAAAAAAAGAGACUUCAGUCGUGGUCUUCCAGAAUAAUAUCACUGCCCAAAAAAGAGUCCAAGAAACCAUAAAAUUGAGUCUCAAUUUACAUCAAAUAUAAAAAUACCAAGCAUGAGCAGAGCAAUCAUUUGCAGUAAGGAAAAUAAAGGUACAAUUGAAAUUCGAGAAAGAUGUGAUGUAAAUACAUACAUUCACACUUAUUGUACCCCUGCAUAUAAUACACUUUCUCAAUUUAAUUUAUUUUUACUAAAAAAUUAGCCAUGAAACCCUCUUGAUUGGCCCGGGGCACCGGUUAGCCAAACUCUUUGAUUCAUAUGCAUAUAUAAAUGGAGUUUGGAUUUUACUUUUAGGGGUAGUUAAGGAAAAGUAUGAUAGUGCAAUAGCUUAAACUAAUUUACAAUUUUGUGAUAGGGAUUAGAGCUGUACAUGAAUCGAAUUGAAUCAAACUUUCCACAGUUCGAGUUCCAUUCAAAGUUUUGAGUUUGAACUCGAAUCUUAUAUGAGCUCAAAAUCUAAACUCGACAUCUAUUCGAUUUAAUAUUCGAUGGGUUCAAGCUCAAUUCGAGGGCUUAAAAUUUUAUUUAAUCUUUCAAUUUUAAUAUUAAAUUGUUACAAUACUGAUAUUUUAAAUAAAAAAAUAUCAAAAAUUAUUGGAAUCGAAUCGAGCCUUAAUGAGCUGAGUAUCUACAAGUUUGAACUCAAUUUGAUACUAUAAAUGAAUUUUAAUUCUUAUUCAAAUUCGACCUCAAGUUCAUUGAAAAUCGAACUGGAAUCAAGGCCAAACUAUUAGUUAUGGGUUCGAUUCAUCUAUAGCCCUAAUGGGGACUUUAGCAUAACAUGACUACUGUACCCUCUUUUUAUGUAAUUGGUGCGUGGUGCAUCAGCAUCUUAAAUAGUGUUUGUGGACGCAAAAUGACUAGCUUAUCUUCUAAUGUAACCAUCAAUUUUUUCAUUAGCAUAAAAGAGGCAGCCCAUCGGUUUAAAAAUCAGCAGAAACCUGUAAUUUCUAAUAAAACUCAUUGAAAUAAUAGGUCUCAUUCAAAUCAAUAAUUGAAUCAUGUUUAAGACAAUUUUAAUGUGUAAUAGGGAGUUUUUGGCUAAAAUAACCUACUUUUUAAAAAAUAAUCCAAAGUAAUGCUCUUUCAGUUUUUAUUCCCUUGUUAAUCUAGUUAUUGCCGCAUAGGCUCCCUAUCAAAGGAAAAGAAUCACUUGUAGAUCUUUCCUUCCAUAUAUUACAUGAUUUUUCUUUGUUUGGUGCCCUAAGGACAUUCUAUAAGCAAAUUGAAAAAGGAAAGUGGGUUUACAAUUAGUGCUUCAAAAGUAUCGACCACCCCCUAAAUGGCAAAUUUGCAGAGGAACUUUUUUUUCCUACCAUUAUUCCUACUUAGCAUUAUUUUUUAUUAUAAUAUUACAAGUUCCUCUCUUUUUUCUUGUAACAUGCAAUGUUAUAUAUGGCGGUCUCCUAACUUUGUACAUUUUAAGAAGUUUAUAAAAAUUCAAAUUGUUUGACACACGAGUAAGCGUUUCAAGAUAUGUGAUAUCACAGUUUUUGUGAACAGCAAAAAUUCCACUGGAGAGGGAAAAGUUAAUUAACAAAAAUUUCUUUUGCAUUUUUGGACUCAUAACAAAAACCUUUUCAAAAAAAAAAAGAGAGAAAAAAGAAUAUAACUAGGUCAUUAUUAGUACCCAAGUUAAUCUCUUUCGAUGUUGUCUCCAAACUGGCCACCAUCUUUGUUAGUGUUCUUUGAAGCUAGCUUCUUUUGAUUUGGUAAGAAAACAUGAAAAAGGCAAUGUGAAAUGAAACUAGAUUUACUUCGAGUACAAAAACAAUUAUAUAUAUAUAUAUAGAUUAGAGUGUAGAUAGGGUUAUCUAAUUAGAGUAAAAAAUUAGGGUAAGUCCAUGGCAGCCCAGACUGCCCCCCUCCUCCGGGUGGGGGGCCGUCGGCCUCUUCCUCCCCCACCUUUAGGAAGAAGGCCUUUUCUGCGUUGUUUGAACCGCAACCGACGUCGGAGGUAGUGCAAGUCCAAGCGAGGAUGACAACACACCAUGGAGAGCCUGCGGUGGUCUUCAGUGCGGCUGAAAUAGCAGCGAUUGCUGUUCCAUUCCACUACACUUUGGUUGGGAAGUUCUCUAAGGGGCGGCCGCUGCUGCCUGACUUGAGGAAAUUCUUGUCGACUCUUGAUUUGAAGGAUACAGCGACUGUGGGAUUGUUAGAUGCUAGGCAUGUGUUGCUGAAAUUUCAGUGUGAAGCAGACUUCCUUCGCGUUUGGGGACGAAAUUUGUGGUACGUGAAUGGAUGCCCCAUGAGGGUUUUUAAGUGGACAUCUAAGUUCCAUGUGGACAGAGAGUCUUCCCUUGUUCCCGUCUGGUUUAGAUUGCCCAAAUUCCCAAUUCACUUAUUUGCUAAGCCAUGUCUAUUUCAUCUUGUCUCCUGCUUGGGUACGCCGCUUUUCGUGGAUGCAGCUACGUCUUCGUUUUCGCGACCGAAUGUGGCACGGGUAUGUGUUGAGGUGGAUCUGCUCAAAUCGAUUCCGUUGAGGGUGUGGGUUGAUAUGGGAGAUGGGGAUGGCUUUUGGCAGGCUCUUAUCCCUGAGAACCUUCCUAGUUAUUGCAGCCACUGCUAUCGUCAAGGGCAUGGCGAGGAUCAGUGCCGUGUGAAGCACCCUGAUCUGCGCUUGCCCAAGACGCAGGGGGGUCUGGUCGCAGGGGUGAUGGGUGCAAAAGUUCGCUCCUCACAGGCUAACACGCAGGGUAUAGAGGGUGAGGAGCGAAGGGUGGUGAGUGAAAGCGCUGCGGUGCAGGCUGGUGUGACGCAGAAUUCGGGCGGGGAUAUUUCUUCCCCGCAGGUUAAUACCCUGGGUAUAGAGGGUGAGGAGCGAAGGGUGGUGAUUGAAGGAGAUGGGGUGCAAUCUGGUGCGACACAGAAUUCGGGUAAGAGCCAAUCCGAGGGGGCACGGCACGUUGACACCCAUACUACUGUUGUGGGAGAUGCGUCGUGCUUACUGAACCAGCUUGGAGGAUCUACGGUUGCGCUCGUGGAGAAGGGGAUAGAGGUUGCUGCUGAUGCCAUUCUUCACGCUAUGUCUGACCGCGUGAUUGGCGAACAAGAGGAAGUGCUGGAAGGGACUGCUAAUACUGGAGAGUUGGUGCUGGGGGAGCUGAACGUGGCAGUUGGCCCGGGCAUGGUGGAGCCCAUACGCACCAAAGAGGGGGCUGUUGUGUCAGGGGAGAGCUGCAAGGACGAAGCUGUCAAGGAUGGACGACAAACAGAAGCUGCCGAAACUGUUGCAAAAGCAAAGUCCGUUGCUGAUGAUGAAAGGGAGGGACAAUUCGAUCAAUUUGCAGUCCAUGACCACGGGAAUGAUUGUGAGGGGUCCCAUAUUUUAGUGGAGCAAAUAUUGGGAGAUGGUCAGCAGCAAAUGGCCGACAAUACUUCAUUGAGAAAUCAAAAUGCCGACAAUUCUAAUUGGAAUAAAAGUGAGGGGUCCCAAGCUUUUGAGGAGCAGAAUUUGGGAGAUGAUAAUCAUCAAAAGGUCAACACCACUGAGCCCGAAAUUCUUUAUGGUGCCUUGCGUGGGGUUGAGGUUGUACCAUCCCUUGUGGUUACGAGUACAAGUACAAGAACAGAAACGAAAACAACAAUGCCUCAAAAUUCAGUGCCACAAUUCAAAGAUGUGUUCGAAGAGAUUAAAUGGGAAAAAUUACAUGGUACAGUUCCCCGACCACAUUAAAUUCCUUUUAUUCGUUCAAGUAUAACAUGCAAUGACAACAAAAAUGAAGAAGAAGACGACGAUUCACAACGCGAAAAACACAAAGAUCAAGACCAGAGCCUAGUUCAAGAGCAAUUUACCCAAGUGAUUUCAAAGAAAGCGAGAAAACAACUUUCAAAAAAAGGUAAAACAAUACAAACACGUCAAGAUCUCAAACCAAAUCCCCAUGCUCACUCGCAGUCACACAAAUGUGGGGCACCUUCGUGUGGAUGAUUUCUUUGGAUUGAUCUGUUAUGUCUUUAAAAUUCCUUCAUAUGCGCGUUUUAUUUUUUAUCAUUAGAUGUUUCUUUUCCUUUAAAAAAAAUGUUAUUUGAUUAGAGUAGGGCUUCUCUAAUUCUUAAGGCAAUUGAAAAAUUGAACUCUAAAGUCGUACCUAGGAUUAUUUCUUGAUUGGAAAAGUGGUUAAUAGUCAUACCUUAACCACCAAUACAGUAAGGAGAAAUUGAUUGUCAUUGUUUGUUUGGCAGUUAUAACUUGUUCAUUAGUGAAUAAAGGAAAUUAUUAUUUAAAAAAAAAAAAGUACCCAAGUUAACACACUAUUAUAUGAGCCAAUCUAUUAUUUACUUUUGAGAUUGUCAUAAAUAGUAAAAUUUAAACUGUUGAAAUGUCAUUAACAAUCGAUGCGGAUUGUGACUCUCAUAAAGAAAGAAUAUAAGAGGACAACGUGGCAACAAGUAAAUUAACAAAGGAAUAAAUUUUGAAAAUGCAAUAAUUUGGCAAUAAUUUCGAAGGAGAAGGUCAUUGUGAAAAUAAACGCGUGUAAUAGGUGAAGAAUCAGAUUUCUUGGCCGUUACAAGUGUAAUUGAAGCCGCCUUCGAGUUCUUUUGCAUUUUUUGGGCAGUUUCUUUUGGAUAUAAUAAUGGAAGUUAUUAAUACUAAAGAUUGUUGGUUCAAAUGAUCGUAGUUUGCAUUUGGAGCAGCUGUUUAGAGAGGUAUGUUUAUUCUCUCUCUCUCUGCGCUAAGGAUUAGAUAUUUUUGAGAAUAUUUUUCAAAAAUUUUAUUGUAAUAUUGUAUUUGAAAAACUUUUUUAAUAGAUGUAUUAGGGUGUUUUCAAGGGUAUUUUUCAGAUGUAUUUUUAGAAUUUAAAACAUUUUAGGUAUUUUUUAAAAGUUUACACCACUGACCGCUACCACCCGCCGCUACCAUCCUCUCCCUCCUCCUUCCUCCUUUCUUUUCUCUCUUCCUCUUUCUCCCCCUUCUUCUUUCUCUCUCUUCUCCCCUUCCCUUCCUUCCUUCUCCCUCCUUUCCUCCCCUCCCUUCCCUUUUCCCACCGGCACCUUUCCCCUCCCCCUCCCUCUCCCCCUCCAUGACUGGUCACAACCAAAGGGCCACUGUUGGAUCCUUAAUCCAACAUUGGACUUAUAUGUGAAUAAUUAUGUGUUGCAAACUGUCAAUUAAGAUUAAACCCAAUUAAAGUGAUCAAAUAUAGUUUGGGUUUAAUGUAUCUAAUAGGGUGUGGGCCUUUAAUGUGUAGAGACUUAAGGGUUCCUAUUUCUAUGAUGGGCUGAAAUAGGGUUCCAAAGGAUAACAAGAAUGUUACCUAUAAAUAGGGUUAUGGUCCCCAGGUCACAGGUAUCGUUUAGUUGUCGUAUUUCGUAAUACCAUAAAAUAACUCUUCCCUAAUAUCCCAUCGUCAAGAAAGAUACCAGAGAGAAACUAAAGGCCUCUCUCAAAGGAUCGGUGAAUACCUGUUGACCUGGAAGGCCAACCCCAAAAUCUCUAGGGAUUCAAGUAUCAAGUUUAUCAAUAUGGAUUCAGGUACGCUUCCGCUAUUUUAUCGUUUAUUUAUUUCUUAAUAAUCACCAUAUAGAUCUUGGGUUUAACAGGUGAUGGUUUUCACCAAAGGUUAAAUUUAGAUAACCACCCUAACAAGUGGUAUCAGAGCCCAUAUGGUUGAUUAUUAUGAAAUAAUUUGAAUUUAGUAAUUUAUAGUAAUUUUGCAUGGCUGAAAUUUGCAAGUUUUGGUAAUUUGCUGUGUAAAUUCAGUCAUAGUAAAAUUUACACGGCUGAUUUAGUAAUUAUUUAGUAAUUUGCAAACCUUGGUUGCUGAUGGCUUUAUAAUUGCAUGCCUUUUGUUUUUAGCCUCUGACUCAUAACAAAAAAAAAAAAAAAGGCAAUUCAUGGGUUCCACCAACAAGUCUUCAUAAGGUUUCCAUGGUUUUGGUCUUGAUUCACGGCAACUUUUCAAUUCGGUCAACUUUUCAAUUCGUGGGUUCCACCAACAAGUCUUCAUAUGUUAGUCAAAUACUAUUCUGGUCAUGAUUGUUUGCAUAUGUUCAUGGCAGUGGUUAAUUCGUGGAUUGUACUGUCCAUUGUUUUGGCCAAUCUAUUGGUUCUUUAUGCGAUAUUUGUUAGCCGAUUGUUUACUUCGGCUUUGUUUGAAAUUAUGACUAAUUGGCACGUGUUUCAAGAAUCAAGUUUACUUGGCCCGAUUAAUUGUUUAUUUUGUUUAUAUCACUUGAAUCCAUUUAUGGGUAUGCUUUUGAUUAUAAAAUUAGGACAAUUAACUUGAAUUUUUGACUUGAUUCCUUGUUUAAGAAUAGAUUUCUAUAUAUAUUUAUGUUAAGAAAAUUAGGGUUUCUUUAAUUUAAGUGAACCCUAAUAAAGCUAAUAAGAUAUUUAAACCCUACAAAGUCCAUAUGUUUGGCCCACUAUACAUAUAGUUUUAUAAAGUAUUUAUGGACUUCAAAAAAAAAAAAUUGGGCUUGAAUAAUAAACUGGGUCAAAUUAUGGAUAUGGACCUUUGGUUCAAUAAGUUUUGAUCCAAUUGAUUGGUUUGAUCAGAGUUAACUAAAGUUGACUUUGAUCAAAAUUUGUUAAAUUUGUAUAAUUUUAAAUUUGAAUAUUGGUAUGAUUAUAUAUAUUUUGAAAUAAAUUAAUUGAAAUAAUAUGCCACCAAAGUAACCUCUAUUAUGAAAAUUAAUUUAUUUUAGAAUAUAACUAGUUGAGUACUUGUAAUUUUAUGAAUAUUGAUCGGCCCAAAGAAAGGUCCAUAUGUAAUAAAAUUACAUGUGCACUUGUGAUAAUAAAUACGUGAUAAUUAUUUGAAUUUUACAUGUGAUUUAUAAAUUGGCCCAAGGAAAAAUUUAUUUUUCGACAUGUUAUUAUUAUCAGUAUUUAUUACUGCACCAAGAUAUCAUUUAGAAAUUAAUAUUUUUGUCCAAAGACAAAAUAUUAAUGGAAUAUCGAUAUCUUGAGAUGUGGUUACCUUUAUUUAAAUUUAUUAUUUUUUUGGUUUAUGUGAGAUUGUUUUAAUUAUUUUAUGUUUUCUGUUCAAUUGCGAAUGAUCUUACGAAUAUUACUUCCAACAUCAAUAAUAUUCCUAUACUGAAUGACACAAACUUCAAGUCCUGGAAAGAAAAUCUCUUGAUAGUACUUGAAGUAAUGGAUCUCGACCUUGCGUUAAGGAUUGAUUCUCCCCCACCUCUUACAGACUAGAGUACCUCUGAUGAAAAGAAAAAUAAUGAGAGGUGGGAGAGAUCAAAUUGUUUGUGUCUGAUGAUCAUUAAAAAGGUCGUUCCAGAAGCAUUCAGGGGAACAAUGUCAGAAACGACUGUAAUCGCUAAAGAGUUCCUUCAGGACAUUGAAAAAAGGUUUGUCAAGAACGAAAAGACUGAAAUUAGUACGCUCUUGACACGCCUAGUUUCAAUGAAAUAUAGUGAUAAAGGCAAUAUUAGAGAGUAAAUCAUGGAAAUGUCUCAUCUUGUUUCGAAAUUAAAUGCACUUAAGUUGAAACUCUUUGAAGAGUUACUAGUGCAUUUGAUUUUAAUAUCUCUUCCUACACAGUUUAGCCAGUUUAAGGUGAGUUAUAACUGUCAAAAGGAGAUUUGGUCUCUAAAUGAACUCAUUUUACACUGCGUAGAGGAAGAGCAAAGGUUGAAACAAGAGCAGACAAAAAGUACCCAUCUGGUGUCAACCACUAAUAAUAAAAGUAAGGGACUUAAGAGAAAGAAAGAAAAAGAAACUACAGGUACAGCGCCACAAAAGAAAUCAAAUGAUCAGGGAAAAAAUAGUUGUUUCUUCUAUGGAGUUGAAGGGCAUCAAAAGAAGCAUUGUACCAACUAUCACGCUUGGCGUGCUAAGAAAGGUAUGCAUCUUAAUUUGGUUUGUUCUGAGGUUAAUUUAACUUCGGUGUCUAGACACACAUGGUGGUUAGAUUCUGGUGCAACAGCUCACAUUAGUGUGUCUAUGCAGGGUUGCCUGAAUUGCCGAAAGUCUAAUGAUAAUGAAAGAUAUAUCUACGUGGGCGAUGGCAAAACAGUUCAAGUUGAGACAAUUAGAGUUUUUAGAUUAUUGUUAAAAAUCGGAUUUUAUUUGGAUCUCUAUGAGACAUUUGUUGUACCGUCUUUUAGACGGAAUUUAAUUUCUAUUUCUGCUUUGGACAAAUUUGGUUAUUUUUUGUUCAUUUGGAAAUGAAAAUUUUGAAUUGUUUCAUGAUUCAAAAUUGGUUGGUUCUGGUUCUUUAAUGCAUUACGAUAAUCUAUAUUUAAUUGAUACGAUUGUCUCAUUUAAUGAAUCUCUGCAUUUGAGUACUAGAGUAAUAAAGAAAAAAUUAAUCAAUGAGAAUUCAACUGUAUUAUGGCACAAGAGAUUGGGACAUAUCUCCAAACGGAGAAUAAAAAGACUUAUGUCAAAUGAAAUUCUCGACCCCUUAAACUUUAUAGAUUUUGAUGAUUGCAUUAACUGCAUAAAGGGGAAACAAACCAAUCAAGAGAGAUUUGAAGCCAGUAGGUCCUCAGACGUCUUAGAACUUAUACAUACAGAUAUUUGUGGACUAUUUCCUACAUCUGCUUGAAAUGGUCAACAAUAUUUUAUAACGUUCAUAGACGAUUUUUCAAGAUAUGGCUACAUAUAUCUCAUUUCUGAAAAGUCACAGUCACUGGACGUGUUCAAAACUUUUAAGGCUGAAGUUGAGAAUCAACUCAACAAAAGAAUUAAAAGCGUCAGAUCUGACCGUGGUGGUGAGUACUAUGGUAGAUAUGACGGUUCAGGUGAACAACGUCCAGGACCAUUUGCUAAAUACCUAGAGGAGUGCGGUAUCGUCCCAUAGUACACUAUGCCGGGUUCACCCACUAUGAAUGGUAUAGCUGAAAAACGAAAUAGAACGCUUAAAAACAUGGUAAGGAGUAUGAUAUGUCAUUCUACCUUACCAGAGUCACUCUGGGGUGAAGCACUUAAGACUGCAGCAUAUAUCCUUAAUAGAGUUCCAACUAAAACAACUAUCAAAAUCCCUUAUGAGUUUUGGACAGGGAAAAAGCCCAGUUUAAAGCAUAUGCAUGUUUGGGGGUGUCCAACUGAGGCAAGGUCUUACAGGUCAAAUGAAAAGAAAUUGGAUUCAAAAAUAAUUAGUUGUUAUUUUAUUGGAUACUCUGAAAGAUCCAGAGGUUACAAGUUUUAUGAUCCCACAACUAAAUCAAUUUUUGAAACAAAAAAUGCCCGAUUCUUUGAGGAUGUCGAGUUUGGGGGAGAAAAUACAGUAAGAGACAUUAUCUUUAAAGAAAAAUAUAUUAAUAUUUCCACAAGUGUCAUUGAUCUUGUUCUGGAUCCUAUUCCUGAACAAGAUCAUGACAUAACAAAUCAAGAUAAUAUCAAAGAACAAACUGUUAUAGAAGUUCAAACUCUCAUUCUCCAAGAACCAGUGCCAUUAAGAAGAUCCACUGGAGAAAGGAGAAGUACAGUGUCAGAUGAUUACAUUAUUUUUCUCCAAGAACGUGAGGAUGACAUUGGAUUGAUGAAAGAUGAUCCAAUCAACUUCCGUCAAGCCAUGGAAAGUUCAAAUUCUCAAAAGUGGAUCGAUGCCAUGAAUGAGGAGAUUAAAUCCAUGAAGGACAAUGAUGUUUGGGAUCUUGUCCCAUUGCCAGAAGGUGCGAAAUUCAUUGGUUGUAAAUGGAUAUUUAAAAUCAAGAGGGAUUCGAAAGGUAAUGUGGAAAGAUACAAAAUUCGUCUUGUCGCUAAGGAAUUUACACAAAAGGAAGGUAUCGACUAUAAAGAAACCUUCUCUCCGGUCUCUUCAAAGGAUUCUUUUAGAAUUAUCAUGGUACUAGUGACGCAUUUCGAUCUUGAGUUACAUCAGAUGGAUAUAAAGACAGUGUUUCUCAAUGGUAAUAUUGAUGAGACGAUUUAUUUGGUGCAACCAGAAAACUUUGUAUCAGGAGAUCCAAAGAAUAUGGUUUGUAAAUUUAAAAAAUCCAAUCUAUGGGUUCAAACAAGCGUCUCGACAAUGGUAUUUCAAAUUUCAUCAAGUGAUCAUUUCAUUUGGUUUUGAGAUGAAUUUAGUAGAUGAUUGCAUAUACCAUAAGUUCUGUAGGAGCAAGUAUAUUUUUCUGAUAUUGUAUUUUGAUGACAUUUUGCUUGUCAGCAACGAUAUGGGUCUAUUGCAUGAAACCAAGAAAUUUCUGACUAAAAAUUUUGAGAUGAAAGAUCUUGGUGAUGCAUCUUUUGUACUAGGUAUACAAAUACACCGAGAUCGAUUUCAGGGUAUUUUAGAACUAUUACAAAAGAGCUAUAUCGAAAAGAUUCUUAAAAGGUAUGGCAUGCAAAAUUAUAUAUCAGGUGACAUCCCUAUGGCUAAAGGAAACAAAUUUAGUCUUGAGUAGUGUCCCAAGAAUGCUUUUAAGGAAAAAGAGAUGCAAAAGAUUUCUUAUGCGUCAGCAGUAGGGAGUCUAAUGUAUGCUCAAAUAUGUACGCAUCCGAAUAUUACGUACAUUACUGAAAUGUUGGGUAGAUAUUUGAGUAAUCUCGGAUUUGAUCAUUAGAAAGCAACCAAACGGGUCUUACGAUAUCUACAGAAAACAAAGGAUUACAUACUCACGUAUCGGAAGUCAGAUGAGUUAGAGAUCAUUGGGUAUACUGAUUCCGAUUAUGCUGGAUGCAAAGAUACUAUGAAGUCAACGUCAGGCUAUGUUUACUUGUUGGCUGGAGGUGUCAUAUCCUGGAAGAGUGCUAAACAGUCCCUCAUAUCAUCUUCCACUAUGGCUGCAGAGUUUAUAGCUUGUUAUGAGGCAUCCAACCAAGAAAUUUGGUUGUAAAAUUCUGUCACAGGAUUACGUGUAGUGGAUAGCAUUGAAAGACCACUCAAAUUAUUUUGUAACAACAAGUCAGCAGUACUAUAUUCUAAUAACAACAGGAACUCUACAAAAUCUAAACAUAUACAUAUCAAGCUCCUGUCUGUUAAAGAAAGAGUACAGAGUGGACAGUUAUCGAUAGAGCAUAUCGGGACAAACUCCACGGUUGCGGAUCCGCUUACUAAGGGAUUGCCACCUAAAAUGUUUCAUGAGCAUACUGUUCGUAUGGGUGUCAUAUUGAUAAAUGAUGUACAGUUUUAGUAGAAAUUUGAUAUUUUAAAUGCUCUUAUGAUACGUUUCGAUUAUUAAUGAUCUAAAGAUAUUUUAUGCAUAAAUAAAGUUUGGAUUUAUUUGUACUCUGACUUUGGUAUGGUUUGAUCUCAUGGAAAUUUAAGAUGGAUCAGUUGAAAAUAGGCAUGUUUUGAUCACAUUACAUGAAAUUUUCAUGCUACACAUCCAUAUCAUAAUUCAUGUCAUUCAAUUAUAUCAAUGUAUGUGACCAUUGAUGGGUCAGGUUACGAAAUUGUAACAAAGGCCGCUUUGAUCCUAUGUUGGUAUGAUUGAUGGAUCAAAUUGGUUACAGAUACAUUGUGAUAAUGACAGUAAAGUUGAGCUCAUACGGUUAAUUGCGAAACAUAAUUAUAAGGUUACACAUAUAGUCCAAGUGGGAGAUUGUUGGAUCCUUAAUCCAACAUUGGACUUAUAUGUGAAUAAUUAUGUGUUGCAAACUGUCAAUUAAGAUUAAGCUCAAUUAAAGUGAUCAAAUAUAGUUUGGAUUUAAUGUAUCUAAUAGGGUGUGGGCCUUUAAUGUGUAGAGACCUAAGAAUUCCUAUUUCUAUGAUGGGUUGAAAUAGAGUUCCAAAAGGUAACAGGAAUGUUACCUAUAAAUUGGGUUAUGGUCCUCAGGUCACAGGUAUCGUUUAGUUAUCAUAUUUCCUAAUACCAAAAAAUAACUCUUUCCUGAUAUCCCAUCGUCAGGAAAGAUACCAGAGAGAAACUAAAGGUCUCUCUCAAAAGAUCGGUGAAUACCUGUUGACCUGGAAGGCCAACCCCAAAAUCUCUAGGGAUUCAAGUAUCAAGUUUAUCAAUAUGGAUUCAGGUAUGCUUACGCUAUUUUAUCGUUUAUUUAUUUUUUAAUAAUCACCAUAUAAAUCUUGGGUUUAACAGGUGAUGAUUUUCACCAAAAGUUAAAUUUAGAUAACCACCCUAACAGCCACAACCAGAGAUUCAGAUCUAGUAGUAACUGGUUGCAAUCAGAAGCUAGUCGCGGCUGUCUGCUCGAUGGCCAUGCACCAGCAACCAGAUCUGAAGUGGAGGGGAAGAAAGAGGGGGAAGGAGUUUCUGGCAAAGGGAAAGGGAAGGGAAAGGAGAGGAGGAGGGAGGAGAAGGAAUGAGGGAAAUGGAGGAAGAGGAAAAAGAAAGGAGGGGGAGAAAGAGAAGGUGGGAGAAGAGAGGAGGGAGGGGAUGGCGGCAGUGGUGGUGGUAGGUGGCGAUGGCGGUGGUGGGUGAUGAAAGAAAAAGAAAUGAUAGAAUUAUUAUUAUUAUUGUUGUUAUUAUUAUUAUUAUUAUUGUAUCUGUGAGUUGUUUUUUAUGGGUUGAUGUUUUUGAAGUUGUUUUUGUUAAUUUAUUUCUGUAAUAUUGUAUUUGAAAAACUAAUUUUUAAAAAAUAGCAAUAUCCAAACAGAGCCAAAUCUUGUUCAGAUUCAUUUGUAGAUUUACAAAAUAUUGCAUUUUGAGUUUGCAAUUAUAGUGUUGUCUUAUUAGUUCUUAGUGCAAAAUUAAUGAUUCCCAUGUACAUAUAAGAAUGCUAUUAGAUGUUUAACCAAAAUUUUAAAAUUUUGGUGCUUUGCUGGCAGAGGUUAUCGAUGCACUGCAAAUUUGGUGAUCAACGUAUGUUCUAAAUCCAUAUCGAUAGCUCACAAAUGUGUUAGAUUUAAUUAUCGGAAAUAUUCUAUCUUGUGUGUAAUCUCUCGUUUUGUCUGCUUUGCAUUUGUAAAUUAAAUUGUUAUAUUUAUGAUAGCACAUGAAACAUUUAAGUUGUCUGUCUUCAAUUUAGGAUGGAUGGAUCUAAAAUUGUUGAUGAAUAGUGCUAUGGUACAGAUGUCGGUAGGUGACUUAAUAUAAAAUAAUGGCAGUUGACUUGACCAUUCGGUUUUCGUUCCUUUUGUGACAGUUUAGAGUCUUUUGCAUCCCUUUUUUGUGAAUUAAAUAAUUCAUCCAAAAGUACAUGUAACUUUUCCAACUCAAUGCAUACGAUUGUCUUGUAAAAUGGUAAGUUCUAAUUACUUAACAAAAUUUACCUUUUUAAUAUUUAAUCUUACUAUUUUUGUAAUGAAAUUUACUAUAUUUCUUUUUUGUCAAACUUACUCACUUUAGUGACAGGUAAGUUUCUAAGGUAAAUUAGUGAGUUUGUCCAAUAAAGUAGCAAAUUUUAAAAGUUACCUUUUUAUUUACUAUCAUUUUGAUUAGACUAACUAAUUUAGCUGUAUGUAAGUUUUUCAAGUAAAAUAGUAAGUUUGUGCAAUAAAAAAGUAAAUUUUGAAAAUUAUCUUUUUAUUAGUCAAAUUUACCAUUUAUCUGACAAAGCUUACUGUUGAUCUCAUUAAACUUACUAGUCUAGCUGUAUGGAAGUUUUUCAAGUAAAAUGGUAAGUUUGGAAAAUAAAGUAAUAAGUUUUAGUCAUCCAUAUAAGUUACCAUUUCAAUACACAAAGUUUCUAGUUAUCUUCCACAAUUUAGUAUAAUUGUAAAGAAUUUACUAACCAAGUUUUAAGUAAGUUUCACUAAUAUAUUGGUAAGUUUGUGCAAUGUAGUAGUAAAUUUUAGUCCCUUACAAAAAAUACCUUUUUAAUAAUAAGACUUACCCUUUGUUUUUCAAAACUUACUAUUAUUGUAAUUAAUUCUAAUCCAACUUCUUGUAGGUUUCACCUAUAAAAUAGUAAGUUUGUGCUAUUAAGUAGUAAAUUUGGCAAAACUAAUGUUUACCAAAUCAGUAUUCAAACUUAUUAUUUUCAUAGCACAAUUUACCCUAUAAUCAAAAUACCUGCCCACUUUUUCAUCUAAUGUUACUGUUUCUCAAGUAAAUCACUGAACUAUACCAAGAAAAUCACCUUGCUCUAAUUAGCCUGGCAACGUAUAGCUGCUAAGUUUCCUUCAAUCCUCCCUCCCUUUUCCUUUCGCUAGUUCUUACACUAUCCUUCCGACUAACUACUCCCUCUAAAUUUAGAAAGGGCGAAGCCAGCAUGCAAAUUAUUGACCACAGAGAACUAUAAUGGCAAAUGAAUUCAACUAGCAAUGCAUGUUUGGUGGAAAGAACAUAGCUUUUUGAAUUAGCAAUGCAUGAUUAGCGGAAAGGAAACAACUGUUUUCAUCAACGCUGCAGAUAAAGCAAAAAAUUGACAAACUCUAUUGAGCAAAAAGUUUUUCAGCUUCAGAACGCGGAGAUAAUCAUACUGCAGCUUGCUUAUUCUCAAAAGGUUAUACUUUUUUAAUACAAAAAUUCUAAAUAAUUGACAUUGUCUAUUCCUCAGCCACUUCUGAUUAGGAGAUUAAAGCAACAUCAAUUGAACCUGAGAGAUCCUUCAAAGCUAAGAAAGAUUUAGGGAUUGAUAUCAAUAACAAACCGCUAAGGAUUUUGGGUUUUGGUUUAUGAAGUAUUGAUGAAAAAUUGGUAGUACAGUCACAUAUAUUUUGCCUUGAGAUCAAAAUGGAUUAAAAGGGGUGGGGAAACAAUAGGACUCAACAAUAAUCUUUUUUUUUUAAUAAUUAGAGAUGGUUUAAGAGGACAUGGGACACUUUUGUUUUGGUAAAAUUAGUGAAAGAACUUGUAAAUUUCAUUUUACCAUUUUUGCAAUGAAGAAGUAAUUCUUAUCUGAUAUUAAAGCUUACUAUUUUUAUGGCUGAAUUUACCAAAUUUAUGGUCAAAUUUACUACUUUACCUUCUUACCGUACUUUUCAAGUUUCUGGGACUCAAGAAACUUGAAUGACUGGUAACAAAAUAAUCGUUAAAAGUACUGGUCUAGACUGUGGGAACUGCUUAUAACUAGUUUUAUCACUAAAAUAUUCAAAAGUGAGGUGACGAUGAGUCACCAUAGCAUUAUCCUAAUGUGAAACUAGUAGGUAACAAUUCCAGCAAAAGCUAAAAGGAUAGACAAGCUCUACUCCACUAGUGAACUUCUUUGGGGAAACUAAUGCUCUUGUUUUCUUAGGCCACCACCAAAUGUAGUAAACAUGAGGGUGGACUUUGAAGUGAUAAUAGAUUCUUCUCCGUGCAAUGCAUUAUCGGGAGUUUUACUAUCGCUUCACUUGAGGCUAUUCUCUCUUUUGUCCAUCAAAUAAUAAAGUUCCCUAACUACUAAAACUUGCAUAGAAUAAGUGAAAGAGGUUCAAGUUGCUGCUUGGAAAUGCUACAUUGCAUCUCUUAAAGGCAAAAGAAAGAAAAUUUUAUUUACUUGUACAAAUUGGCAUGUACCUUAAGAGAGAGAGUGCAUGGUCAUGAAGUAAACAUAGAAAAAAAGGGAAUGACUCUGAUGAAGAGCUCGAGCAAGUAUUUGUGGAUAUCCUAGAAGAACAUGAAUGAAGUGAGUAUGGUGAUGAUGACUUCACUAAAGGAGAAAAGAAAACAAAGAAGUUACUGAGAAGGAACUUUUCCAAGUUAUCAACAACCAUUUCGUCCAUCUAGUAGAGUAUCUCAAAAGACUUGGCAAAGCAGUUCUUUUUGAGAAGUAGGACAUAAGUAUGAGAGGUUGUGUAGAGAAAUCCUGGAUUUCUAACUCGUUCCAUUUGAAGUUUUAUUUUCAACAAGAGCUUCUAACACGUUCCUUCUAGGAAAUCCAAAAGUUCAUGAUGUAAUCAACUCAGGGGUGGACAAGCUUCAUCAUCUUAUAUCUUCUAGUUGAUUAAUGAAUUCCUAUUAUAUUCAAAAAACUUCUAAGAAAACUCUUAAAACUUUAGCUAUCUUAUUGAAAGACACUAUACUUAAAUGAGAUCUCAUAAAAAUAAACGGACAACCCUCCUAAGGAUGCAAGCCAAGUAGUUAGUCCUCCCGAAGGCGUAGGCUGCUAAUAAAAAAAAUAUAGUCCUUUAAAUGAUGCAUAAUACACAAAAAUUCAUUUGGAAAAAUACUUCUCUAAGUCUAAACUUAGAAAAAAUUAGCAAAGGGGCAAAAAGUUAAUUCCAAAUUUUCUACUACAUUAUAUCAUAGAACUCGUAUUUGGCUUUUUGUGGCAGUUUACAAAAAAAUUCUUAACUGAAUAGAUGGAACUUGAUUUCCAUGUGAAGCCAUAAUAUAUUCAAGAUUUCAAGUUACCUUUAUUUCCAUAGUAUAUCUUUUAUUCAAGUAAGCAAAAUCCUUAAUGCAUUACUUUUAAGUAAAUAAAAUUGCAUAGGAGCAAAUCUUGUGCUUAAUGUAAUAUGUUCUUAGUUUUAUCAUUUUCCCUUCAAAGAAAACGACGUAGUAUGGUAGGGGUUUAGCCACCCUACCAUUUGAAUCACUUUUAUAAGUUUUCAUGCCUUGUUUCGUUGUUGUUUUGCGAGAAAGAAGAUAAUUACUUCUGCAUGUUAGGAUUAAACGUUUAUCAUAAGUUAUUGUUGAUUGGUAUGUUGUGUAUCUGUUGUUAUAGCAAGCCUUUCUCCUAAUUCGGGUGAAUGCUACCACCAUGAUGAUCAAAUAAUUGCUAAGUUUGAAGAUCAAAGGCAGCAACAAAGCUAUCAAAGAAAUUCCAAUCUCAAUUUGAAGAUUAAAGGCAACAUCAAAAAUAUCAAUGAAAUUCCAAUCUCUCACAAGCUAAUACAAAGCUUUACCAUCCAAAAACCUUUAAAUUCAUCAUCAGAAGCUGCCACACCCUCAAAUGGUGAAUCCCAAAACCCUCAUCCAAGAAUUUGUUUUAAAGCUAUAAAAAUCAUUUCGAUAUAAGGAAUUUCACCUAAAACUACUAAAAUAUUGUCACCAGUAACUUUCAUUGUACAUAAAACCAUAGUCAUAAAUAGUCCCUCCAAGAUACCAUUUUUGAAACCACUUUUGAGUUAAAGGAUUUCGUACCGUCAGAGUUAAAGGAUUUCGUAAUGGUAAAAGUGCAAUUCUGGAAAGCAAAUCUCGACAUAUUAGGCCAUAGCAUGACCCAUGAAUUUGACACCCAUAAUGUCAAGAACUUCAUAAAUGUCAUGUUUAUUUUAUAAUAGACCUUGUUUGUAUGUGUCUAUAAUUAGAAACUCAAACGAAAGUACAACCUUUAGCCAUGUAUUAGUCCUUUGUUAUGUCAUUACCAUCUUUAUGAAAGAUGAAUUGUUUGUUUGAGCUUACCAUGAUUUAGAUGUACCUUGAAAUCGUGUAACAGCUUUCAAGAUAACUUUAUUAGCCACAUCAGUCAACAGCAAUUUUCCAAAAGUUACACCACCCUACACACAAAGGGAUUAUAAAAAUUCAUAAUGGUAAAAUAUCAGUUUAAGACGCAUAUAUUUCUACCUUAAUAUGAUUCUAAGUAUCUAUUAAUUUUUCUUUUACGUUACUCUUGAGCUAUUGGAUGACAAGAAGCUGGUAAUUCAAGGGAAAAUUUCUGAAAUUUAAGAGGCUUGAAUCACUGGUUGAGCCUUGACUAAAUCUUUCCCAAAUUGGUUUUUCAAAAUCUUUCCCAGAUUUAAGAGGCUUAAAUCUUUCCGAAAUUGGUUUUUCAAAAAUAAUUGAAUUGUUUUCAACUAGCUUUUUGGAAUUGAGGGCAUAUGUCUAAAAUGUUUGACAUCCAUGCAGACUAACAAUACCAUUUUGUUGUGAAAACUAGCCAAACACAUAAACACAUGAAGCUGCAAUUAGUAAUUUUGCCACCUAAAUGAUCAGAUAUUGCUCAUUUUCCUGACUAAAUUCAGCAGUUAACAACUGGGAAGGGGAAGCGUAACUCAACAUUUAGCAUAAGGUCAUAUCGUCUUCGUAUCUGUUUCUGAGAUCAUUUUAAAGCAUCGACUGUUCAUAGAAAUUAUUAAAGAAAUCGUAUGUGAAUGAAGCAUAAUUGGAGAUGUCAAGUGAAUUACUGGCGGAGUCAUGAUGUUAUACGAAAGAAAAUUAAUAUUUACUUAAACGCAUAUUAGUGUAGAAAUAUAUGUGCAUUAAAUUAAUAAUCUACCAUUUUGAAUUUUUAUAAUCCUCUUUACUCCUUCCAUCCCAUUGUUAUUGUUAUAUUUUCACUUUAUUGAUGUCUCAAAAUAAGAGUCACCAUUUCAAAUUUAAUACAUGCUUUCCAAUCUUGUCAUUUGAAAAAGCAACUUUUAAAAUUCUAAUACACAUCUAUUAAGAAAAUAUUUUGAAUUCAAAGGAUGCUUUUGUCAAUUUAUUAAUGUCAUCUCAUCUAGACAUAUGAUUAUCAUGUCUCUAUAAAAAAUUGGAUUCGCAUAAAAUGACUCUAAUAUUGGGACAGAGGGAGUACGUGUAGUGUGGGGAGUAAUGCUCAUAAUAGUCUUCACAUUUUUUUAGGAAAAUGGCCAUUUUGAUCCUUCAUCUUUUGGAUUUUGGCCAAUUUAGUCCCUUGUCUAUCUUCAUGACCAUUUUAGUCUCUUAUCUUUGCGAAAGAAUGCCAAUUUAAGACCUCUAAUGAAAAAUUAGAAAUUUUUGACAGAACUAGUCACAUAUAAGGCAUGUGCACUAUUAGAAAUGAUGGUUUUGGUCCAUUAUCUUCAAAGUCAUGUCCAAUUUUGUCCCUUAUAUGUCUAUUAUGAUUUUCUAGUUUCUCAUUAAAAGUCCUACAGUGAUUUCAUUUUGUGAAAAUGCGAGUUUAAAUUACUGAAAAGAUAAAAUUAGACAUGAACUUGAUGGUAAUAGACCAAAAUAGUCAUUUUUAGCACUUCACAUGGCUUGCAGUUAACUAAUUCCAUUAGAGAUUUUCAUUUUUUCUAUUUGAUAUCCUAGAUUAUUUAAUUUUUUUUUGUAAAGAUAAAAAAGUAAAAUGGCUACAGUGAUAAAUAAGGGACUAAAUUGAUCAAAACUCCGAAGAUAAUGGACUAAAAUGGCCAUUUUCCUUUUUCUAAAAUGGAGCAUCAAAAUAUGAAGUUGACUAACCAAGCUUUAAAGACAAAACUGUUCACGAAUUUUUUUCUUUCCCUAACUUACCAAAACAAGAGUUUCAAAGUUCAACUAGUUGUUAUGUUAAUAGUACAAAUAAUUAAUUUAUGCAGAAGAUACUUUGGAAUGUGGUCAUGCCAACUAUCUCAUUACUAACUAGUUGUCACCUAGUGCAUUGCACGGGCAUUUGUUUUGCUUUUACGUUUUCUUUAGUUUAAGUGAAACUAUGUUUGUUUUUCCUCUAUUAAUUUGGAGAAUGAUCAGAAAAAAUGUAGCAAAGACUAUUAUAAAUAAAAUGAAGAAAUUUCAUCAAUACCUUUUACUACUUUCAUCAUAUUCAUCUUCCUUAAUAUACAAGGUGAAAUUCUUAAGAUAAAAAAUUUGAUACCUAUUACGAAAAAAAUACGAAGACAAAAAAAGAACCAUUACUAAACCCAAAGAAUUUCGAGCAAAAAAUAUGAAGAAAAUAAAAGUUGAAACCUUCCUAACGUACCUGCAAGUGUAAAAGAUAAGAGAUAAGAGAUUUACAUAGUUGUUUAACAUGAAAAAGCGUCCACGGAGGGCUGAGAGAGAAAUUUGUUGAGAAAAUUUAUCUAGUGUUGAAAAAGAUAAAAAAAAGGCCGGAGAGAGAAUAAUGAUGAGGUCUUCUAAGAGUGCCUAUAAAAAACUCGCUUUGUCAAAAUUGUUGAUAUGUAUCAAAUGAACUCAGGAGUUCCCCCAAACACUUCACUAGACUGAAUUCUUUGGCCUAACAGAGGCAGAAAAUUAUUGUUCCCGUUGAAAUGUUUCGAGGGAACUCUAGAGAACAUCUAAUGCUCUAUUAACAAAUCUAUGCUUUUGCCCCUUGUUAGGUCACUCUCUUUAUAGGGCUCUCCUGUCUCCACACAUGCAGUUUCUGCAUGUAAUUACUUUUCACAAGCCACAUGCUAUUUUUUGGAGAAUGGACGAACCUAGUCAUGAUAUAGGAUUAGAUGAAAGACAGAUAGCCAACAAAACUUGAGAGGUCAUGUUUCUUCAACCUUUUCAAUCAGUAGGCAUCCCCUUUGAUCUCUCUUUUUCAACUUUUUGUUCACGAAUAUAACAAUAUUAUUUGUCCAUAGAAAAAAAAGAAUGGCGAAUCUAUCAAUCUCACGCGUGUUAAUUUGGCAGAAGCAUACAAUUGCUAAACCUAGUCCACUAGAAACAUAAAUCUGGUAAUUGUCCAUCUUAAACAUACUAAAAACAGCAGGAUUGUUUGUCCAAGCAGUUCGCAUCACUUUCUAGUUGCAUUAAAAACCAUAAUUUUGCUAAUAAACCUAGGAGUUAAGGAUAUGAGAGUUGGAAUACAAGUGGUUGAGCUCUAGAGGGUACAAGAUGACAAGAAUAUAUUUUAUGUGUUUUAAGUAUGUUUUAUUAGUUAGUUUUGGUGUGUUUUAAUUAGUUUUAUAGCUAAUAAACUAAGAUUCUAGUGAAAAUAUGUAUUUUAUGGUUUAAAGUGUGAAAAUUGCAUUUCUAUAAACUUUUACGGCAAAUAUUUCAUGUUUUUGCAGGAUUAAUGAUUUAAUCAUCAAAGAGUAUGAAUUGAGAAGAAAAUUUGAUGAUUGGUGAUGAUUUGAGGUGUUUAAAGAAGAAAUGAAAUGCAAAAUAAUCAAAUGAAGAAUUGCAAGAGAAGACUAUUUUGACACGUUUCUGUAUUUCGGCUAAAUCUUGAGCUAUACACACUGGAUUAAGAUGAUUCUUGAACCAUUUUGAAGCUAAGAAAUAGAUCUACAUUUGGUAUGAAGACAUUAAAGUCCAAUUCAGCCGUUUUCCUGGUCAAAAAGUCAAAACACAGAAGCUUAUCUGUAUGGUCGAGAGCUGAAACACAGAAUUGACCAGUCUAUGGUAUUUCGAUCAUAUCUCCAUCCACCGAGCUCCAAAUUAGAUGAUUCUUGAAGCAUUGGAACGCUAAGUCAAAGGGUUACAACUUUCAUGUUUUGCACAACAGCCAGUUCGGUGGCUAUCAUAGAGAAAAUUACAGUUGAAACGAGGUUAAAAGUGAAUACGCGUAUGGAAGCUGAAUUUCUGCAAAUUGCUCAGCCAUUUUUCUCAUUUUCAUACUACUUUCUAGCUGUAGUUGGAGAGAAAACUUAGGUUGCACAUGUUUCUGAUGCACAAAGGAAGAAAAAUAGCUUAUUGUCAAGUCAAAAAGAUACGGUAGAAUCAAGAGGCUGAUCAUUGUUUUGUUGACUUUGUUAACACCUUAGAUUUGGAGAAUCAAGGGGGGAGAAGAAAAAUAUGGUAGGAGAGGGAAGUGACAUCAGAAUUUAGCAUAAAAAUUGAGGCUGGUGAUAUUCUCUCUAGCCAGCAAUUUUUACAAAAAACACUUGGAGAGCUUGGAGAGACAUACGGGAGAAAGCUUGGGUCUGCAAAAAUGUAGCUCUUCCAUUUUUUGUGUGUUAGAUUAGUUUAGUAUAGAGUAGUAUAGCUCAUCCACUCUUGUAUAUUGACUAGAUUAGGAUGAAGAUGGAGAUAAAGAAAGAGAAGUUGAAGCUCAUGUGACAAGGGUUAUCUCUUCUCCAACUCUUUAUCUUUUGUAUUGGAUUCUUAAGUAUGGUCAAUAUACAAGUUUUGGAUUUUAUGUUUAUUAUGUGUUUCUAAAGUUUAUGCCUUGGGUUUGGUUGAACUUUCUAUGAUUGCUAGUGUUUAUUAUUUGGCUAUUUGAUUGCUAUGAUGUGAGCAAGUUAUUUAGCACUUUAGAUCUCUAAAUCAUAAUUAAUCUGGUACCAUUAAUUGUGAUUAUCUAAGAUGUUGUUUCUGCAAUGAAAAUUGAGAUUUAACACUGGUUCAAGAAGUGCUAAACAUAAGGAGUACACUCACAAGAGUAGAGGUGCACCUAUGUGGUUUUAGUGAUUAAUUUCAUGUAAUUUCAUUGAAGAAAUGAACUUGUAGCUAAUUUCAUAACCAUGAGAAUAAGUAUGGAUUAGUUAUAAGUAUAGUUGAUUCACCACGAAAGUAGGAUUCAUAUGCAUAAAGAAAUUACAUCAUAACUAGCCAAGAUAGUGGUAAUCAAUGAUCCAAAAAUAGCAUUUGCAUGAGUAGUUAGGGAUACCAUAACCUAAGGAGCUUUCAUUUGUUAUUUUGCAUAAGUUCAGUAGGUUUCAUUUCUUAUAUUUUAUUGAUAGUCAAAAUAAUAAAGAAACUUUAGUAGUGCCGGUAAUUGUUCAAUCUUUCUCGUGUGAUCGACCUGAUAUAUACCCUAAACUACUAGUUGACCUGUAUACUCGCAGUGAAACGGGUGUAUUUCAGAUUUUUAACUUGUACGUAUAUUAAAAGCUCGUCACAAGAGUAGUAGGUUUAUUCUUAUCUUUUCAUUUGCUACGUAAUUCUGACUAGGUUCAAGCUAGAAAAUCCAUAUGGAGACUUGAUUUUCAAGAGAUCCUUUUAGAGGGCUAGUUGUCCUAAUCAGGAAGGCCACAAAUACGCACGUACAAAUCUUAUCCACUCAAACAGAAGAUAAUUAAGGAAUCAGCUACACCACUACAAAUUCUCUGCUUUGCACAUCUGCACUUCACUGGUUAAUUUCCAUGUGAAUUCAGCAAAAUAUGCAUCUAAAUUCUAUCUUUCAAAAAGAGUGGUUACGUUCUUUAGCCUAAAUUAAACGACAUGACAAUCAAAGACAAAUUUUGUAUUACAAGAAGUGUAUGGUUGAUUAAUCAAAGACAAAUUUUGUAUUUUGUAACACAAAUAGGUUUGUAGGAAUUCAAAUUCUACCAUUUUCAUUGAGUAAUGAUUAAUGAACUAUUGGCCUUAGAAGCACCAUGAACUUUUUGUUGCACAAUCCUUGAUUAUGUCUCGUUUUUUCAAGAUUAUCCUAGUUUAAGUCCUUGAGUAAAAACUCACCCAUCUGACCUCCAAAGUGUUUUGAGAACCUUGAGACUGCACUCCCUUUACCAGCCAAACUCUCCAAAUCAACCUUCUUUUCUAGUCAAUUGGAUUAUUUUCUACAUAUAAUGACUGACAACCAAAUGGCUUCUGAUCAUUUCUAUAUUGCAAAGCAUGACCUCUUAGCGUACUUCUAGCGUAUAAAAUUAACCAUUUGAAUAUUAACUGACUUGUUAGAUAAGGAUCCAUUUGAAUGGAAUAAUGAAGUAAAUGCUGGUUUUCAAACUAGAACUGUACUGCACCAGUUUUAGCCUUGCUAUAUUUUUUUGAAACAUUAAUUAUAUACCUGUGAUUAAUACUUAUAAGGCAAUAGAAUUGAUGAGUACUAAUUGGCUAGCGAUACUACUAAAGCCAUAAUCUUCUAGUCAAAGUAAUAUUUAUCCAAACACGGACACUACUCUCAAUUAGUUAAUGCCAUAUAUUCUAAUUGUUGUUUUUGAACUCAUUAUCCACGAAUUACUCAUUUUCUUUCUCUUUCUCAUUGACAGAACGAGCUUUUGUCUACUUCUCUCAUUUCCCCUCCAAUUCUUGCCUUCCAAUCUCUCUCCCUAUUUCCUAUUUUACAAUUUGUUUUCAUUUUGUUGAGACUUUUUGUAGUAUAUGGUUCAAGAUCUUUUGCAUAAUACUAUUCUCCGCUUUGCUCUUGUUAUUUUUCCAUCACUAUUAGUAAGUGUUUCUUUUUUCUUCCGUUUUUGCUUUUAUUCCAUUAUGUUUUCUAUUAAAUAAUCUUUUCUUACAAUUUUUUUCUUUUAUUCCAUUAUGUUUUCCAUCACUAUCAGCACAUUAUUACAAAUUUCAUCAAUUUUUUUAUAACUCCUCCAUGUUCCAGGUGCUUCUUAUUAUGAGUGGUAUACCUACUCUUGAACGGCUUCAUCAAUUUUAAUUGAACUUUAAAUCUUUACGGUGCAAUGGUUGCUUUAGUGGACAAGCUCAUAUUCGUUAGCAAGAGAAGAGGGAGAUCAUUAGGCCAUAUCUAAUCAUCCAUACUAAAGUCAUUUUUUUCAUAUUAUAAAAUUAUAACCUUGAGGGUUUACUAUUUUUUUUAAUUCAUAUUUUUUUUAUUAAAGAUCAUGGAAAAACUGUGUGAUUGCUUUUAUAAUGUCAUUCAAACUCAAUCCUAUGAUAUAUGCAAAUGCUUUAUUUCUUUGAAUUUUGCUUGUUUAAUGUAUUAGUGUGCAAUUGAUCUCCUUAUAAACUUCACUACCUUUUCCGCUUUUCUAAUUAUUAUAUGAAUCUUGAUUUCAACAUGUGUCCAUAUUUUCUAAUAACUAGAUUAAAUUUAUUUUUAAUUGUGUUAUGUUCUAUACCCCAUGCAUAUAGAAGGAAAAGUGUGUGUACAUUUUUUUGGACUAUUUUCAUUUUAGAUUGUUAGUUGUUUGAGUUAAAUCACAUUGUAUUUGCAAAAAAACAAAAUAGCUUUUAAAUACGACUUUGAAAAUUAAAAAUAAGAGUGCUUUAAAGUAAAAGAAUUACAAUCUAAGAAAAAAUAUGGUAAAAACUCAAAACCAAAUCAAUGAGUUAUGAAAAUAAUAGAUAAAUAAAUUAAAGAGAUGGAAGAAGUAGGCAAGCUAUUCAAUUAACUAGAGAGAGAUGAAAAGAAAUAAUUGGUGGAUAAUGGGUCCAAGAGAAUCAAUGAGAAUAUAUGGUGUUGAAUAGUUGAGGGUAAUGUUGGUAUUUGGAUAAAUAUUGUUCUGGCAAGAAUAUUAUUGCUCUAACAGUAUCGCCAGCCAUACUAAUUACAUUUGGUAUAAAAUGCGAAAAAUGGAAAUGUUUUAGUUGGAAAUCAAAAAGUAUGGGCGCCCAUGAAGUAUUUCUCAAAUUAAGGGUGACAACAUAUGUGUUGGUUGGGAUCUAAAUUUUUACCAUCUAAACCCAACCCAAACUCAGCCUAUAAUGCAUAGAUAAUAACACAAAAUAGUAUUAAGAUAAUAGCACAUAUAUAAAUUUUCACCCAUUUAUAUGUAUUUAGAUAAUACCACAUAGAAUGCUGUAUACCUAAAAGUGCAUACAUACACAUAUGUAUAUGCGCAUAGGCAUGUUUUGUAUUAUAGUUACUACAUACAUUCAUGUUAACACAUUAAUUUUUGGAAGAAUCUUUGUCAUUCUUUCACCAUAUAUUUUGUUAAUCAGAAUAUACUUUUCCUCAAGGAAGUUUCAAAACUAUUAAAAUUUAAAUUUUUUCUCAGAUGACUUUUUGUAGGACACUAAUCAUGGUAAAUAAAAUAGGUCAAUGACCCAAUGUCACAAGAAUUGUGUGAAAUUAUGGAUAUUCAUGGGCCCGUACCCGUUAGGUCACUUGUACACCUUUGGACCCUGGUUUGAAUCUAAACAAAUUAAUUUUGGUGUGGAUCUAAGUGGUCUAAUGACGAAUAGAUCCCCAAGCCCAAAUCCAUUUAGGCUCCGGUAUGGGUUUUACCUUUAGCCCUAUUAGAGUUUGUAUCCAAACAAAUUAUAUUUUAUAAAGUUGAGCCCGGAAAUUUCAACCCAAACCAAGCACUAACAUCCUUAACAAGAAUCACGAUAUACGUGUGUAAAAUCUCUAUCAGAAUUAUAUUGGUUGAUGAUAUGUAAAAACAUGCUAAGCAACUUAUAAAUUAUGAUUCGAAGGAUAUAGUCUGACCGCAGCAGCGAUUGGUGUCGAAUUCACCUAAACUUUAUCCCAAAAAAAAAAAUUGUGUCAGCUGGCUUAAUAUUUAUUGAAAAUCAGACAUAAGCAGUAUAUGGCACGCUCUUUUUGGCUUGGUCUAUGCAUAGGUUCUAUAUAAGAUUUUAAAUCAAGCUAACAAAAUCAUCACAAUCGAUGUCAUCCCUGUAAAGAAUGUGCAUACAAGUUUGUAUAAAAUUCAAUUCCGAAUUUUGUUUGUUGAAUACAAUUAUUGGAUAUUAUAUAUGAGAUUCUUCAUAUUUGCAGAUUAUAAAAAUUUUUCCUUAAAGAGGAAUUUUCACAAGAGCUAUACCUCUUCUUGGUAGACUGCUAUGUAACUGGUUUCUCGGUUUUCUUUUUAAAUGUUGCGUCAUCAUUUGCAUUUGGUAUGUUCAUCUAUCAAAAUGUUAGCUGUCAAUCAAAUUUGAAUGCAGAACUCUAAGAUGCCGUAGUGGACCGAGAAGGAUUUUGGCACUGGGGCCAGAGGGCAAAUAUUAGUUUACCAAAUCGAUAAAGGGGCUUACCUCUACUUUUACAAAAAUCUUUCUGGGACCAGGGUGGGAGAGCAGGGAAGCGAAGGAAAUAUAAUGUAAUUUUUUCUUUUAGUGUAAAUGAAAGGAUUUGAAUUCGGAACCUCUCGCUUAUAUUUCCUACUCCCGUACCAUCCAAUCGAUCUCACCCCUGGGAGUAUAAUAUAAUUUUCUUAAAGACUUGUCUAGGAACUUUCACUUUUAGAAUGCAGGAAAUAUAGUUUUUAAAGUCUUGGAAGGGUUAAUACUUAAUACCCCUACAUGGCACUUGAUAGGAAUUACCCCUUUUGGUUUUAAAAUCAUAAACUCAACUGGUAUGUUGCAUGUCCAACUACAAAAAUUGCAACAAAGGUUUCCUUUUUUUUUUCUUUUAGCAUUGCAACAAAGCUUAAAAUAAAGAAAAUUUAUUUGUCUUUAUUAAUGAAAAAUGUAGAGUUUCAAGAUGUGUUAGCAUUGGCUUCUUCUAACAUUCAUAAUCACAAAGACACGUCAUAACCUAUAAUAUACCUGCGGCACGAUGAUCAAAGGUCAUCAAGAACAGAAAAAAGAUCAAUGCCUUUGCCAUCUUCUUGUUUUUGGUUUUUUUUUUUGUGUGUCUUUCUUGCUCUUGGUUAAGCUAGAAUACUACAUCCUACAAGUGUUCCAGAAGGUCUUCUGUAUAUUGAAACUUUACCCACCAUAAAGAUUUGAUUAUUAAUGCCAAAUCUUGUAUUUAUGGUAUUAAUCAAAUAGCAUAUGUUACUUUAGUAAGUGAAUCACUAAAACUGAGAUGUGAUUUUAUAAAAAUUAUAUCAUGUCUAAUAAGAAUAGUAAAAAAAAAUUUGCAUCAUUAAUGUGUAUUUAUCGAAUUAAUGCUGCUAGAAUUGGUUACCAAAUUUUCUCUCCACAGAUAUUUUAGAAACUGUGAAUGGAAAAGUUACAUCAGGCAACAUGCUGAUACUUCAAUACACGAGCAUCUAUACCAGUAUUUGGAUAACAAAUCCAGUACAUGAGCAUUUCAGUUCAUGAAAAUAUUUUACCUCGUUUUUCGAAAAUUAUGAUAACAAAUCUAUGAACUUAAAAAAAUCGAUGCUUGAAGGAUUAUCUAGUUAGUAGUGGGAAGGGUACACCCUUCAUUAGGUUUAAAUUAAGGAAAAUUAACAGAAAGUUAUUAUAUGAAUUUAGGACCUGUUUAAUGGAUUCAAAUCUUAAUAUAUUCAAAUGUGUCUGAUAACUAAAAAUUGAACAUCUCAUUCAGCAUUUAAACCUAAUGAAUUCAGAUUUUAAUAUAUUUAGAUGCAUUUGAUAACUAAAAAUUAAAUAUCUGAAUUAAUUAAAUGGCACUAAAGUUUUUAGGCACAAUUGGCUCCCAAUAACAAGUGAUAAACUAUUCACUUAUUAUUAAUGUGAUAUACAAUCAAAUAUAUCAAAUUUAGUAAUUUAAAAUUUUAAUUAAUUUAAUAGAUUCAAAUUUCAGACUUCAAUUUUAUUAAACGCACCCUUAGAGAAUCAAAAAUAAAUUGAGGAUAGGAAGUUAUGGAAAAUUAAAAGGUAUUAGGACACUUGUUUAGCGAGGGCAUUGCUAGGAAGCACAAAAAUGUUACAUCAAUGUAUCUGCUCUCACUAUGUUAAAGUUGAAACAAUGGUGUUGCUCUUGCUUUUAUGGUGCCAUAAAAGGAAGGUGAAGUCAAUAGAAGAAAUAUAUCCAAGAAACUAUUGUGCAUUAUGUUGAAAUUAAAAUUGAAAUUUGAAAUGACUCAUUUCAAAUGAAAUGCUGCAAUAAUAUAACAAUCCAUGACUAAGUUCUUAACAGAUUAUGACUUGGGUCCCAGCAAGCCUAGGAUGUUUAGUCCGUUGAUUAUAAAUGCUAGAUGACAUUUUUCUCUGAUAUUUCUUGACUAUACCGUAACAAUAACAUUUUCUUUAAUGAUAACAACACUAAUGAACUGGAUUCCAUCAGAACUUCAAAAUUAAACGUGCUUAGACUAGAAUAGUAUUAGAAAGGAUAACAAUAACAUUAUACUAGGCCACCUAGCUGAUUGGGAAAUUAGGCGGCAGGAUAGGAAGCAUUCUGCAUGGUAACACGCAUAGUGGCAAAGCCAGGAUUACUUUUAAGUGGAGACACAAAUAAACUGCAAAUUCCUUUUGAUUCUUGAACAUUUACAAUUUUUCGGUUUGAACUAUUGAUAAGUGCAUAUUCUAUGUAUUUUUAGUGUGUUUUAUUAGUUAGUUUUGGCAUGUUUUAGCCACUUUUAUAGUUAAUUAACUAGGAUUUUAGUGAAAAUAUGCAUUUUGUGAUUUAAGUGGUAAAAAUAGCAUUUCUAUGGAUUUUAAUAGUGAAAACUUCAUGUUUUUGUAGAUUUAAUAAUGGCAUGAAUUGAGAAGAUAAUUAGAUGAUUGAUGAUAAUUUGAAGUUAUUUAAAGAAGACAUGUAGUGCAAAACGUUUAAAGGAGAAAUGCAAGUUAAGACAGUUUUGACACCUUAUGAUAUUUCAACCAUAUCUUGAGCUACAAACGUCAGAUUAAGGUGAUUCUUAUACCAUUUUGAAGCUAAGAGAAAUAUCUACAUUUAGUAUAAAGAAUCAAGUCCAUUGAGAUCGUUUUCCUAGCUGAAAAGUCAAAAUACAGAAGUGCAAUUUAAUGAUCGAAAGCUGAAACAAGGUAUUGACCAGUUGCCUGUAUUUUGGUCAUUUAUCAGUCCACAGAGCUCCAAAUUAGAUUAUUUUUGAUGCAUUGGAAAGCCAACUCAAAGGACUACUUUUAUGUUUUACAAAAGAGCUAGUCCAGCCUCUAACAUCAAGAAAAUAUCAGUUGAAAUUGGACCAAAAAUAGAGUAAAGAGGAAUUCUGCCCAGAAAAUGCAAACCUGCAAAGGAGAAAAUGUGGGGUUCGGUCGCGUUUUCGAGUCACGUAUUCUUCAUUUUCUGCUGCAACUUGCUUUGCAACUUAUUUUGCAUUCACACAACCUUUUCAACUCAUCUACAACUCAGAAUUUCGGCUGUAUCUGACCAAGAAGAGUGUGAAAAUUUGGAGAACAACUCUUGGUGAGUUCAAAAGCCAACUUUGCUAACCAAGAAACAGCUCAUCUUGAGCUUUAAUUCUCUAUAAAUAGCAGCCUUUAGAGAACAUUUUCACAACUUUGGAAGGCCAGAGAAACUCUACAAAGAUAUAGUCUUCACUAGAAUUUCUUUUAUUCAUUAGUUAGAGUAGUAUAGUAUAGUUAGUUUAGUUUUUCCUUUUUGUAUUUGUAGUUAGAUUUGGAUGAAAAUUUGAAGAGUAAAGAUGGAGAAUUAGAAUUCACGUGACAAGGGUAACUUCCGUCCUAUCACUUUUUUUUUGUAUUUGAUUUCAUGUUUAACUAUAAUAUAAGUUUGGUGUUUGUUUUCAUGUUUAGUUAAAGUUUAUGCCUAAAAUAUGGAUAAACUUUCUAUAUCUUAUUUGUGAUAUUUACUUGGUCAAUUAGUGAUAUUAUUUUAAACAAGUUAUUUAUCACUUUUGUUUUUCUAAUCAUGAUUAACCGGCCAUUAAUUGUGAUAAUGUUAAGGUGUUAAGUUUGCAAUGAGAAUUGAAAUUUAACACUAGUUCAAGAAAGUAAUAAACCUAGGGAGUACACUUGUGAAAGUAGAGAUAAGUGGUUUAAGUGACUUGUUUCUUGUAAUUUCAUAGAAGAAAUAAGUUUGUAGUUAAUUUCAUAACCACGAGAGUAGGUAUGGUUCAGCCGUAAGUAUAGUUGAUUCACUAUGAGAGUAGGUUUCACAUAUAUUAGAAAAUUACGCCAUAAUUAGUCAAAAUAAUAGCAUUCACUUAACCGGUAACUUCACUUGCAAGAAUAAUAAGGAAUUCCAUACCUCUAUGAGUUUUCUAUUGUAUUUUUUGUUAUUUUUACAGUGUAGAUUUAAUUUCUUGCACUUAUGAUAGUCUAAAUAAUAAAGGAAUUCGAAAAUCACUGAUAAAUGAAAAUCUUCCCUAUAGGUUCGAACCUUAAUACCCUAUACUGUGACGACUCCACUUCUCCUUAAGGCGAAUCCUAGGGUUUCGACGGGCCGCCUACCUAACUCUCACCAAGACUCGAUACAAGUCAAGAUUAUAAUUUAGACCUAAACAACCAAUAAGAAACUAAUAUAAAGAAAAGUCACUUCCUUCGAUAGUCAUCCAAUUGUACAUCAUAAUAUUUCCAAAAGUUACAUCAAAUUUUCCCAAAAAUACAACCACCAAAAGUUGACUAUAUCAUUUACAUCCACAAUUGGACCAAAAGAUAAUCAAAGCUAGAUUCUCCAAAAUCUUUCCACUUUAAAUUCCUGCUAAGGAAAACAAACUUAAAGGGGUGAGCUAACGCUAAGUGAGGCCAAGAAAAGCAGGCAGCAAACAGGUACAUCUAGCAAUAAUAACAUAUAAAUAAAAGGCAACCAAAAUAUUCAUGUAAAAUCACAAAAGGAAUUAAAAACACAAUCAAUGAAGGAUACGGAAACUCUCAGGAGCUAAAUCCACACUGCUUCAUCGAUAAUCUUGAUCCAUAAUUUUCAAGUUGACACUUCGUCAAUCGAGCAAGUAACAAGUCUAUAGAACCCCACUUUUCACCAAUUUCCGUCCACCGUUACACCCCCUAACCGGGCCCGAACGUCAAAAGUUUUGAUAUUACUCGAGUAUAUCGAGGCAAGUAGUGUAUGAGCCCAAGAUUCACCAAACUCCUCAACCAAGCCCUUGCUGGCUUGAGUUGAUUGGCUAGCCAUUGGGUUUGGGCGUCCCCACGAGUAUCAGUGGUCGAUGAGAUUGCUUUCAAAUCAACGUCAAGUCAAAUACAGGUAUAAUUAUCAAGUACAAGCAGAUCAAUUAUCAAGUCAAGUAAAAGAGAACGAGUGCGAUAAAAUACACACUCGUUUUGACAAGUCCAAUUCUCAUAUUCAAAAAGAAGUAGUUCAAGUAUUAUGCAACAAGUCAUGGUAUUAUGCAACAAGUCAUGCACUUGACACUCACCAGUUUCAAAAACAAGUGAGCAAGAAAUUCCUUUAAAGUUCGUCGCCGGAAUUCCUUUCGAAUCCCUUUUGAGUACCUGAAGAAAUAUUAACCAACCAACACUCACGGAUACCCUAGGUCAUCGAGCAUACAAAAAAGAAAGUUCGUUUGCCUAGAAUUAGGAUAAUGCAUCAAAAUGGGUUUAUUUCAUUGAAAACAGAGAUUCACAAAUGAAGGUUUAAAGUCACAAGUUCAAGUCAAGUUAAAGGUGCUUUUCUCGCUAAAUCAUUGAAAUAAUACUCAAAGAGAACUCAAAAGUCAUUUUUGAUUCAUGUCAUAGUAAGUAAAUUUCAAUUCCAAAAGAAAGUACCAUAUUUACUUUUGAAACGAAAAUCGAGAAAAAGAUAGAUGGUUUUCAUUCCUCAAAACUUCUAAUCUCAUGCCCGAACUUUAAAAUAUAAAGAAGUUCACAUUUUCAAACUAAUGGAGUCAAAACUCGUCCAAAACUCUACUCAUUUCAUCGUAAAUGUCAAAGCCAAAGGUUCCAAGUUUUGAGUAGAAAACUAGUUAAAAUUCUCUAAGAUUUUCUCUAGUUAAAACGCUCCACUUUUAAAGUUAAAUGUCAUGGAAAUGAAGGGUAUAAGCCUAGGGAUUGAAAUCCAUAACUCAAGUAUAAAAAGAGGUGCCAUUAACCAAGGAAGUUAAACAACCAAGUAAACACAUUAAGAGAGGUUUAAUCCUUUAGAAACCAAGAUUUAAAAUCAAGGUUUAAAGCUCAAAAAAACCUUGUAUCCGACCAUGAAAUUAACUUAAAACAGGCCAACAAUCACAAAGAAAGGUUGGAAGUGCUUAAAAGAGUACUUUGUAUGAAACCAGAAAUUUCCAGUUUAGUGUGACACUACUUGGAAAAAUCAUAUCUCAAGCUCUGUAAGUCCAAAAGUUGGAAAGUUUAUAUUGUUGGAAACUAGACUCAAGGCACUGAGGGUGGUGAAUAGUCUGCGGGGUCCACUCCCUGCGGGAUACACCUAAAAAAAAAAAAAAAAAAAAAAAAGGCACUAAAACUCUCUAGAAGAUACUUUUCUUAGACUCCAAUCUGAAUUCACUCAAAUUUUAGCUCAAAAUCACUGUUCCAGACAAGACAGGGCAAAAUAGGCUUGCAAUUUCAGUAAAGUUUUGAAAUUCGGUAAAAUUCGUAGGAAUGGAAUCAACCCUUUGAAAUUUAUACUGCUAAUAGAAUUUGAAAUUUAAUUUCAAAUGCAAUAAAUGGAACCCAAUUUGGACCUUUCUACAUCAAGAUACAAUGGUUUUAAGAAAGCUGAAUUUUGGAACCUAUUACACGAAAUUUCCAGUUUUGAAGGCUUGACAGAGUUUAAAAAUCUGAUCAUAACUAGAGCUACACAACUCAAAAUUUAGUGUUUUUGUGGCAUUGAAAACUAGAUUCAAAAUACUACAAAUUACUAGAAGGAACUGUCUUAAAAUUCGUUUUGCAAGAUAGGUAAAAUUGAGCUACAAACUGCAGCUAGGACUGUUUCUCGGAUGAAAGCAGUGAAGAAAUUCAGUCAUCUUUGCCGGUUCACUAUGGCUCAUAGAAAAUGAAUUUGGAGGUGCAUUUUAUACCAAUGGAAAGCUCUCGGAGUCUAGUUUUGGUUGCCACAAAUGGCACUCAAUUUCAACUCCCAAACAAAAAGUUAUGAUCCAAAACGUGAACACUAAUCGGUGCUUCUGGUCAGAAAAUUUCCAGAUUUCUUCCUCACUUAAACCUUACUUUAACUCAACCAAUUGUACAGCUUUUUGGGAGAUUUUUAACACACAUAAACACCAUCAUAGAACAAACAUUAUAGCACCAAAAUAACAUCAAAAUUCGAAAUUAAUCUGAGGGUUUCAUCAAGCCAAAUUUCGGACAGCAAGCAUCCUUCAUCUUCUAGUUUUCUUUUCCAACUUUCCAACUAAAACUAAGCCAUAUCUUCUAAAAAUAAGCAUCAAACAAGCAAGUAAAUAUACAAAAUCUGAAAGCCCCGAUGCAACCAAAUACAACCAAAAUACUCAACCAGACAAGUAGUCAAGUAAAUACAAUGACAAAGAAUAUAAGCAAUUUUAAAGCACAAAAAUAAAGUAACAAUAAAGUAAAAGAAAUUCAAACCAAUCAAACUCCCAAGCUUCUUCCAACCUUGGAGUUGAAUCCACCAACUUCCUUUUCAAAUUAUUUUUGCAAUCAAAAACACCUUUUUGAUUUUUUAAAUCAUCAUUUUCCAUUCUCAAACAUUUGUUUUCUUGAAAAAGUUUGGAGUUUUCUUCCAACAAAUCAUUUAUUUUUGUUUUCAAAUCUUUAUUUUUAGCAUAAGAUUCUCUCAAACUUUUAUGCAUUUUAAUCAUAAGAAUUUGCACAUCAUCAUCUUCAUUAUCUUCAUCACUAGAAGAGUGAUAAGAAUUUACCUCAUCUUCUCCAAAGGCCAUUAGUGCCAUUUUGGCCAACUCUUCUUUUUCUCUUUUUGAAUUGCAUUCAUCCCAUGUAAUUUUGCAAUCUCCUCUUGAACUUCUCUUGUUGAAGAUCUUCUUGAAACUUUUGAUGUGAGGAGUUAUAUCAUUGUCCACUUCCAUGUUUUCAUUACCCAUGAAGGAUGGGUUAUCCCCCACUUGAGAUGCUUUAAAAGCUAUGCCUCUCUUAUACAUUCUUGCAUUUUCUUCCUCUUGCACUUUGAAUUUCAGCUUUAAUUCAUAAGAGGUUAGGGAAUUCACAAGAGAUUCAAUGGACAUAGAAUUUAAAUCCUUUGCCUCUUCUAUAGCAUUUAUUUUGUUUUCCCAUUCUUUUGGCAAGGCAUUCAAAAUCUUUCUAUUUUUCUCACCCAAAGAAUAUUCUUUUCCAAGCAAUUUAAGAUCUUGAAUAAUGUCACAAAAUCUACUACACAUCUUAUCAACAUUUUCAAGAUGAUGCAUUUUGAAAAAUUCAUAUUGAGAAACAAGCAAAGAUUUCUUUUGUUCUUUAAUAUCUUGGUUACCUUCAUGAAAUUCACACAAUUUAUCCCAAAUAUCUUUAGCUGAUUUACAACCUUUAAUCCUACUAGAUUCAUUUACAUCUAAUGCAUUGUACAAUAUAUACAUGACCUUGGCAUUCAAAGAAAGGUAUCUCUUGUCUUUUUCAUUCAAUUCUUGUCUAGUUUUUAAUCUACUCAAAUUAGUGGUAGAGUCAACUAUUCUAGCUUCAUAAGGACCAUCUUCUACCACAUACCAUAAUUCAAUAUAAACGGAUUGUAAGAAAAUCAUCAUUCUUUGUUUCCACAUGCUAAAAUGAGAACCAUUAAAUAUAGGUGGUCUAUCAAUAGAUUGCCCUUCUAAAAAGGAAACUUUUAUGGUUGCCAUGAUCUUUACUCUAAGCGGUUAAGCUUAAUCUCUAGGAGACCAAGCUCUGAUACCAAUUGUAAGCCCCGAUGCAACCAAAUACAACCAAAAUACUCAACCAGACAAGUAGUCAAGUAAAUACAAUGACAAAGAAUAUAAGCAAUUUUAAAGCACAAAAAUAGAGUAACAAUAAAGUAAAAGAAAUUCAAACCAAUCAAACUCCCAAGCUUCUUCCAACCUUGGAGUUGAAUCCACCAAAUAGUUUCUUCAAUUGAUGGUAGUGCUAACCAACUUGUACAAGCGUCCGAUCCUCUACGUCCGAACCUUCAUAUUUCUUAACUUCUCUUUGAUUCAAAUCUUUUCGAUUCUCUUUUGGAUCAAUGACCUGUUCUAACAAAUUUCUCACAUAAAAACAUUAGUCCAAAUCUACAUUUUGGUUUGUUAAUCAUCAAAACCAAGGACUAAUCAACCAAGGUCAACAAAAUCCUCAAGGCCUCUACCUAUAAAGUCACCUCAAGUCUUCUACCUAAUGUCAAGGUUCUUGUGAACCCAUCAACAACCCAACCACUAACUAGCUAGACUAACUAAUCUAUCCAUAAUUGAAGGAAAAGAUGAGAGCUUUAGGAAUUUUACCUUUCUUCCAAGAAUGAAGAACAACCACUAGUAUAAGCUCUUGAAUCACCAAAGUUUCUACCUUGUUCAAAUCACCUUCCUAGCUUAUAUGAAGAACCAAGGAAAGAAGCAAGUGUGGAGAGUUUUCGUGGAGCAACAAUGGAAGAAGCUAGCUGAAUUUUUUGGGGAGGAAAUGGGGGAGGGGAGUCUGCCAAGGUGAGGAGAAGAAGAGAAGGGUUUUGGGUGGUAGUUGGUGAUUUCAUUGAAUGACAAGAAUAAUGACAUAAAGGUGUUCUUGACCCAAAAGUCAACAAUCGUUUAGUGAGCAAUUAGUGCUCCUAAUUGAGUUUAAUUUAACUCACUCACCUCUAAUCUCUCAAUUAAUUUUUCUUAGUUUACUAUUGAUCAUCCUUAAUUCUCCAAGAUUAAUGUACUCUCGGUCCGAAUUUGCCUCAAAAAACGUGCAUUCGCUAUUUCUCACUAAACAAGCCAAAGAAAAAUUAAAUUCGCUAACGAAACUUUUUAAAAAUAUAAAUGAGACAUUGUUCCAUGUAAAUGGAUUUAAAAUGGAUGAAAUAAAUUAUUUGGAGUAAAUGGGUAAAUAAAUAAUUAAAUAAGCCAGUAAAAUAAAAAUAAAAGUAAGUAAAAUAAAAAUUCGGGUCCUCACAUAUACUCAAUCGCGACUCGUACACUUGGAAAAAAUCGCGUGUGGGGUAUUUAGAAUUUAUAAAUGUAAAAUUUGACUGUAGAAUGAGUUUAUUGUUAUAUGUGUACCCCGCGCUGGUCAACUAUGAAUCAACCAAUAAUUCUUUUAGAGCAAUGGAAUAACUGUAAUAAGCAUGUUCACCCUAGAGGUUUUAUUAUCUUUUUUUUCCCCAAAGAUUGCAAAUGGCAAAGAUUUUUUUUCUUCGAAAGUACUUGAUUUAAAUGAAUAUCUUACUUGAAGCAAUGGGCUAAUAAAGAGACGUGUACAUUAUUUGACAUGAAAUUAUAUAGUUACAGGACAUUUUACUACAUCGUGCUCCCACUAACAAAUUGAUUAUGGUGUGGAAGAAAGAAUUUAUCAUACAUAUACUUCAUUGCUAGAAAUCUGAAAAUUUUAUUAGAUGGAAGAUGGUGCAUCUCCAACAAUUGUCGAAGAAGAAAAGAUGGUAGAGAAGAUUUCCAUAUACGUCUGAUGUAGAACAAGCAUUCCCGGCGAAUAAUUGAGCAGCCACUUUUGGAUCCCUAGGAUGUCCAAUUGGCCUCACAAGUCCCAAGUAAUAAAAUUCUAUAGAUUAACAAAGAUACCAUCUACCAGAAGUCCAAUUGGCUGAUAUUUUUAAGCAUAUGUUGAUGAUGUAUGUGUGUUAAUUACAAAGAUACUGCACGAUUUUAUUUUUAUUUUUGCUUUUUUAGCAGGGAAUUUUUUUUUUUAAUUUCUUUUCUAACAGGGGAGGGGUAGGAUUCAAAAAGCAGAAAGGAGGAAGGGAGGUUAGAAUCCAGGACCUCUAAUUUCUAAGUGCCUCAAUUUUAGUCACUAAACCUUGGUGGAUUUAUGUAAUGCAUUAGUAGGAAUUUGUUUUAGAACUUUUUCCUUGAAAUCAAGUUGCUUCUGCCGUGCAUUAUGUGCUAGUGUGUUAGCAAAGAUAACUUAAUAUAUUAUUAUAUAAAAAAAAAGAUAACUUAAUAUAUAUUUUUUAAUCUUUCUAUCUCUCCUUACACUCUUUCCAUCUCUAAUCGUCAGGUAUCAAAAUCAAAUCAUUUUACCAUCACAUCCCUCCCCACACUCUUUUCACCACAACUAUCAAAUAUAAACUUCGAACCUCGAACCUCACAGAGAGAACUCUAAAAAUUUAGCUUUUUUAUUUUUGUACCUCUUUUUGUUUCCUGUUUUCACAAGAUUGUUCUAUGAUUGAGGGUAUUUAUGGUAACAGACAGGUACUAUAUUUUGGCGGAUGGCUGAUUGCCCUACUUGUAAUAAAACAACUUAAAAGAGGAACAGAAAUCAAGAUGCUAAUUUUUGCCCACUGGACAACAUUGAGAUUUCCAUUUUGCAAAUUUAAAAGAAUUAGCAUUUUUUAGUAUCCGUUAGCACAUUUAAGGUAGACCUAACAUAUGACGUCAAUACACACAAUUACAAUUAGGGUUAAUUUCACAUACCUCCCCGAAAGUUUUUGACAAUUGCAGAAAGCUCCCCUCGAGUUCUAAAAAUUACACCUACCUCCCAUAUUUUCACUACUUAAGUAACAUUUUAACCCCAAAAGGCUAUACUUUUUCUCAAAAUUCCUAUAAUGCCCUUGAGUUACAAUUCACAAUAAAAAUGUAAAGGAAAAAAAUGGUUCACAGUCUCUAUUUCGUUUAUCUUUACUUGCUAUCACUAUUACCUACCCAUCAAUAUCCAAAUCACUAUUAAAUAAAUACUUAUCUUUGUUUUAAUGUUUCUCUUUUACCUAAAAAUUUAUAAUGUAGACAAUUGUAUCAACUAUAAACGCUAUAUCAGAUACCCAAAAACUUAUCUACCAUCUCAUGUCAAUAUCAGAUUUUACUCAAUACACAACAAUAUUCAUCAAUAUCCCUAAAUUUCAAUUCUAUGGCUGUCACCUUUUUAAUACAAAAUAAUUUAACUCAUCACUACUAAUGUCAAUAUCCAAUAUAUUCCAUUAGCACGGAGCUCAAAAUCAAUCAAAUUCUCUUUAUAGGAAUAAUAUCAAUAAUUGUAAAUCAAAAAUAGAAAUACAAUGUAGUUAUAAAUAUAUACCAAGAACAUUUUUUUUUCAUGACAACCAUAACAGCAUAACCUAUAUUUAGUUUCUAUCCCACUUCCUAUCCUUAAUUUUUAUUUUUUUUUAUUACUGUAACUAUCUUCAUCUCUAUCUAGUUUGAUAAUGAAAUUUGCACUCAAUUUGUCAUUUGACAAUUGCAAUUUGCUAAUGCCUAUCAAAAAUUGGAAACAAAAAUGGGCCCAAAGAAACUAUUUAAUAAUAAUGAAAAAUCGAGAAUUGGGAAUAGAUACCAAAAUAUGCAAGUAUUGGUGGUUUGUGUGUACGGUGAUUUUAUUAGUAACGAUAGUACAUAUUUGGUUAAUAAUAAUAAAUAAAUAAGUUUGAAAGGAAAAUAGAUAUAGGAGGAAGAGCAUAGAUAGUUAAAUAGGAAAGACUGUAGUUUGAAUUAUUGGUUGAUAAUAGAUGAGAGAACUUUAAUAUUUGAUAGAGUUUUUCAAUGAUUUGACAAUUAAUGAAAGGCAUUUUUGUCAUUUUAUUACACUAAGGGAGGUCUCCGUAAUUAUGUACAUCUCAAGAGAGCCAAGUGAAAUUGUUAAAAACCUCAGGGGAGGUUUCUGAAAUUAUCCCUUACAAUUAUUGCACUCCUAUAUUAAUAUGCUUUCUUAAAUUAGCUACACUUUUUUAACAAAACUAAUAUCUCCGCUCUUAUUCAGUGCCUUGUGCUCGUAUUUGAAAUCGUGGAACCUGCUUGUAUGAAUUUUUACAAUGUCAAUGUAUAAUAAAUUAAUCAUAAUUAAAAUGCUAUAGUUCAAGGAACAAAGUAGAUUUUUUUCCCUUUUUUCGUAAGUGGGAGGUUUUGAAUUCAAGAUCUUCUACUUUACAAUUUUUCCUACCUCACUGGUCGACCCAGACACCUCCCCCCCCCCAACCAACACCACCACCACCAAAACCCCAACAAGGAACAAAGUAGUUUAUUCUGAAUAACAAGAACUAUAAAGGGUUUUUGGUCAAAUUUAAUACUAGAACAAGUUUAAAAGCCAAUGGCUUGGAGUAAUUUUAAAUUCAAUCUUAUAAACGGUUGCCCAAAACACAUGGGAUAAAACCCGUAUAAUAAGAUACUUGAUCAUUAAUCCUGGAAUCUACCAAAAUUUAAUUCAAGCAAAACUUCUACAACUUAUAUUUAAAUGCCAAUAAAAUCUGAUAUAGAAUACUUCAAAUCAAUUGCAAUAUCCAAUGCAUGAAAUCAAUGAAUUAAGCCUAAUUUGCUGGAUCCCACAAUGGCAGCCGGUGGCGAAUCAGGAUGACGGUAGCAGCAUCGAUGGGUAUUGGGCUGCAAACAGGGGGCACAUGAGAUAUUACGUCGACCGUGAUUUUCAUAGUUGCAUUGGUUGAUGCAGUCGAGUCCGUCAUUGCUUCCCUAAAAAAAAAAAAAAAAAAAUCUGUUAUUGCAUGUUCCCACGUAUGUGGGAUUGCUGCUCUCUUCUGCUUUGCUGUCUGCAUCAACCACAAUACGAACUUUUUAAUAGGGUUGAUUAUACGUUAUACAAAUAAUAAUGUCAAAUUUUCAUAUGAAUAAACAGGUACAAAAAAAGAAAUACUGGCCUUGUUUGGAUCACAGUUUUCUAAAAAAAAAAAUUUAUAUUUUUAUAAACAUAUUUUUUAAUCACUUUUUUACUUCACAUAUAUCAAAUUAUUACAUUAUUUUUUUUUAAUAAAAGCUCUUAUAAUUAGCCAAUCCAAACAGGAGCUAAGGAUCUUGAUUCUUUUGGAGCUGCUAUUAGGUUUAUGCUCCGGUGCAAAUCUAACCAAACUUGAGAUUUCUGCUUAACUAUUUUCUUUCUUUCUUUCUUCAUUAUUUUCUACUUAACUAUUUGAUAAAAAUUCAAUAACUUCAUUUUCUCAUUAUUUUCUUAUUAUUUUCUUUCUUCCUUCAUUAUUUUCUACUUAACUAUUUGACAAAAAUCCAAUAAUUUCAUUUUCGUAGUUCUAGGCCUUGUUUCAUUUGAUAUCAUUUGCUGUCGACAAAGCUAUUUGAAGUAUGAAGCUCAUAAUAAUCUUUCCAGUCUACACAUUCAUUUUUUUUUCUAAGUUACUAUUUAUCUUGCUUCCACUAGCUAUGUAAUUUAAUCAUGAACUUGUAACCUUGCACACUUCAAAUGUUUUUGCAGGCUUGAAUGGAUGAAUUCACAUGGUUCAUCACAUGGUUCAGUCGAACACUUAUCAGCAACUAGUCAUGUUGUCAAUUGCCUGGCCCGCCUGAAUAAAGAAAUAGGAAGCCUAUGCAUAGACACCAAAGAUGACUUCCAAGUGCAAAUGUCUGAUGACAAGAAUGGAAAAUUGCUUGUGUUUUGCUCAUUAGACAAUGUAUUCUUUUUUAUUAUUUUCCAUAAAGUGAAAUUUUCCAAAAGUUGGUUUUAAUAAGCAUAUUGAUAUUAUAUUAAUAAGCAUAUAGCUAUUUCAUGCAAGAAAUCAUGGGUAUAGUUAGAGGUGGCAAUAUGGAUAAAUGGUUCAUAAUUGGUUUUGACUUAAUGGAUGGUGGAUGAAAUUCAUCCAUUAAAUAAAAACCAAUUAUCCAUUUAAAUAUUUUGGUAACUUUUUUUUUUUGGGUCAUAUCCUCGGUAUGCAGUAGCCACUUUGGACCCUGACUAAUCCGGAGUUGAGCCAGGUUGCACCCCAUAAGAGGCGCAAGCUCUCCCAGCACCUGUCUCUCCAUUCACAAGACUUGAACCUGAAACCUUGCUUAAGGGGAGCCAAGCGCCUUGCCAGUCAAACCAAGUACAGCACUUGGCCUAACAGCAAGGGUGGUCCCUCUCGUUUCUUAACAUCAGAUGAAACUUUCAUCAUGAAAGCAUUUCCUUAAAUGCAUGCCACAAUAGCACAAGACAGAAACAUGGUUUUUAAGUAAAUGGAUAUGUUUGGUUUUUGUGGAUAAUCCAUAUAAAUCCAUUUAAUUAAUGGUUUUACUGUGGUCAACCAUUUAAAACCAAUACUAUAAAUGAAUAAUCCAAAUCCAUUUAAUUAUGGAUUAUAUGGAUGGAUAAAUGGAUCUCAAUCCAAAUUGCCACAUCUAGGUAUAGUUAUCAUUCACCUUCUAUUGAUUUAUCUUACCAAGAAUUUAAAUUAAGGUUAUUAUUUAUCAGAAAUAAAUGUUCUUAGAAUGUUUGUUGUGAAUAAGCAUGUUCAUGAUAUAUAUAUAUAUAUAUAAGCCACUUAUGGAUAUAGCAUGUUUGCUAUAUAUUACUAAAAUUUCUGCAUCACACAGUGAAAUUAGUCCUUUGGCUUAUAUCUGAUUCAUGUCGAUUUUCAGUGUAUGGAUAAUAGAAGAAUUUGAGUUUUGGAGAAGUAAUACGUAAAUGGCUACCACCCAUGGGACCUCAUUGGGAUCAAUCAUCAUGUAUCCAGAUAAAGCUAACAUCCCAAGAGGUGAGAAGUCAAAUUGAUUUGAAUUAUGAACACAAUGUUGUCAUUCCGUUUUUUUUUUUUUUUAAACAAAAACUGAUAGCUGACCUUUCCACUAUCAAGUAAUAUGUUUGGAGCUCUCUCCUGGUAUAUACAUGCUUACCUAUUCGAAGGAGGGAAGGUUAUUUUAAGGCAAGUCCAGUGGCGCAGCUGGAUUUAUGCUUAAUACUAAGGAGAAGUUUGAACAUUUUCACCAAUUAUCCGCAAAGGGUGUGCAAUUUUGCAUUAGGAUUUUGAAUAUUUUCGCUUUUUUAUUAUUUAUUGUCACUCGAGAACACUUUCACUUGUUAUCCUCAAAAGGCAUGCUUGAUUUUUUUUUUAUUUUUAUAAAAGGAAGAGCAUUGGAAAGAAAAUAAAAGGAGAGAGAAAAAAGGAACAAAGAAAAUUGGCAUUUUGAAUAGUUCUUUCCGAAAAUUUUUUGUAUCCUUUAAGGAGUAAACUUUAUCAGCUACUUAUGGUCACGUGUUUUUUACUGUGCAUAUUUUUCUUGUGUGUGUGGGCACACCAGUAUAUAUGAUGUAUUAGAUUAAAGAGGAAAUAUAGUGGUUAAGGUUGAGAUUUCAGAAUUUAAAAGUUCUGGAAUCUAAUCCUCCUUUCCAAUUCCCAUCUUUUAAAUUCCAUUCCUUUCCUGCUAGAGAUAAUUUUUUUUAAAAAAAGAAAGACAUAACAAAAAUGUGUUCAUAUGGCUCAUUUCGCCUUUUCCAUUCCGUAUUUCCAGCAUUUUAAGGAAUUCACGGCAGAUCAUAUCUUCAAAUUUAUUUUGUUUAGAUUAAGAAAGAAAGUUUUCUCUGCAUUUUCUUCCAUGAACAGGGAACAAAAAUUGUACUUCAACAACCACAAAAAGUAAGACACAUUUGAAGCUCCAAAAGAAGUUGGAAAGAGCUCUGUUUAGAAUGAGAUAAUUGAUUUCCGUCAGUGACAGAUGCCGACUUCACUCGAAAAGCGACGUAAAGAAUCAUGUGGCCAGUAUUUCAUUGGAUUUGCAGGCUAAUCCAGCAGCCUUUACAGUGAAGUUACAUGUAUGUAUCUCAUAUUUCUGUAAUUAUUUAUUAAAGUGAAAUGUCUAUAUUAUUUAUUUUAGGGUUAAAUGCAAAAAAUCCCUACAAACUAUAUACCGAGUUGCAGUUUACCCCCUAAAUUAUAAUAAUAGGCAUUUUGUCCCCUUCAAUGAUGUGUUUGGACAAAUCUACCCCUUUUAUUUUAAGCAUUGUUAUUUUUCUUUUUACCCUUCCAUUUUCUUUUUAAAUUCUUUCUUAUUUUUCUUUAAACAUUGUUUGAAUAAGUAGACUAGAUUAGUCAAAAUUUGUUUAUUUCUUAAUUUUGUAUGUCAAUAUUUUAUAAAAAAAAAUCUAUGGAAUACAAGAUUUUUUUUCCAAAUGUUGAAGUCAAUGUCAUUUAAGAAAUUGAACUUUUCAAAUAUAUAAUAACAAAAUAGAGAAAUUGAUUAAUCAAUUAUUAGUAGUAUCAACAACAGAAAAGAUGAACUACUAUUGUUGUUUAUUCUUAUUUUUUAUUUCACUACAAAUAACAAUUGCUAACUUUUCUUUUUUAUGUGAUAUAUACUAUGUUACUUUUGUUAUAAGUAGUUGAGUAACUGUGAACUCUUAAUUAGUUUAUAGGUACUUCAAUUGUUGAAUUACUAGAUUAAUACACUUUACAAUGUAAGCUACAUAUAUUUUGUAAUAACAAAGAGUUUAUGACAAAUUAUUAAGAAUGAAUUUAACAAAUAAACAAAUUAAAAAAGCAGUUUAAAAAAUAUUAAAAUUUUUGAUGUUAGUCUUUUCACAUUGGAGAGAGAUGUUGACUAGUUCCAAGAGAGAAGGAGUUUAUGACAAAUUAUUAAGAAUGAAUUUAACAAAUAAACAAAUUAAAAAAGCAGUUUAAAAAAUAUUAAAAUGUUUGAUGUAAGUCUUUUCACAUCGGAGAGAGAUGUUGACUAGUUCCAAGAGAGAAGGAGAACAAAAAGAAAAUAAAAGGAAAAAAAUGGAAAAAGCUAACAGAGAAAAAAAAGAAGAAAGGGUUUAAGAUAGAGGGAUAGCAUUGUCCAAACAUAUCAUUCAAGGGGACAAAAUGCCUAUUAUUAUAGUUUAAGGAGUAAACUGCAACUGGGUAUAUAAUUUAUGGGGAUUUUUUGCAUUUAUUUUAAACAUAUAUACUAAUUAGUUUUUAUUUUUUUGAGUUCGAUUAAGUUCAAACUUGAGCUUGAACUCAAGUACAAGUUUUGCAGAAUUUUACAUAGAAAGUUCAUUAAAUUCGAAGAUAAAAUUAGAUCGAAUUCGAUUUGAUUGGAUCAAAACUGAACUUGAGCCGUCCCAUUUGCUGCCAUUAUAACUGUCAGAUAUGACAUGUACUCAACUGGGCACGUAGAAAGCUUUUUUGUUUGAAGAAACGGAUAUGAAAAGUUACAUAAAAGAACUAGUACAAAUACAGCAGUCAAAUAGUACAAAUACAUCAGGGAAUAAAUCCAAAGAAUGAUAAAAUUCUAGCAGAGGGACAGUGAGAGAGUUUGUAUCGAUGGAAACUUGAUAGCGAUCGUCAAUUAAUAAUAAUAUUCACACUUGAGGAGAAAUGUCGUAGUGAGUAGCAGCCAUGCCAUUGGGUAGUUAGGCUUUAAUAGGCUCUUGCUCUUAUUGGAUGAUUUCUCCAUCUUUGAUGUCCUUUGCCUCCUUGGACUUAAAUUACUUUUUCUGAAACCACUAUCGGUCCAUCCUUUAGAUAAUGAGUGUAUGGUUGGGAAUAUUUGGAUUGAGUUAACUUUAGGCCUUCCUUAUCUAACACAGGGGUAUCUGGGGGUAGCGGUCUGGGACUGGAUACCUGACACCGCCAUUAACCCCAACUAAUCCCACUGCGCCUGAGAGAGCGGGCCCCACCGAAUCAUCAGGAAUUUACCCCGGCUGCCCGAGCUCGGAAUCGAACCCAGGCCCUUCUCACUCAAUGGAGCUACAAGGACCGCCCGAGCAAACCGUGGGGGGCCCUUCCUUUCUAUUAUCAACACUUCAUCUCACGCCCCACCAUGUUAGGUCACUCUGAGGUGUGUCUUAAUUUCUUAAGAUUGUUUGACAAAAAAUAAAAAAAUAAAAAAAGUGUUGUUUCAUGAAGUAAUUAAACUUUUUUGUUUUAACUUGAAAUUUUGGAAGAAGAAAAGUUUUUUCUCUCGAACAUAUAUGGGGCAAUUCUCAUGAUGUUUAAAUAUGAAGGAAACUAAACCAAAUUUUCAAAGGUGUUACGAAAAUCAACUGGAAAGAAAAAGAAAAGGAACAGUGCAGUGGAUAUAAUAAAUGCAACCUACAUUUAAGAGUGACAAAUAACUAAUUAAUCUCCUUACUCAAUAGCAACUCAACUCAAGACAAUCUCAACCAAAAGAGGGGUACAAGAUUAGUAUAAGAUUAUCAUACAGAGAAGAGAUUAGUAUAAAAUUACAUCUCCUAAAUAUGUCAAUCUAUCCAAUCCCUACAAAAAUUUUUCAAAAAAAUCGAUGCUUAGUUUAAAACUUUAAAUGUUUUUCAUCUUGUCAAUGUUCCUUAAUAAUAUGGCACAGCAACAAUAUUUUACAUAUUCUACGGGCACAUUUUCAACCAUCAAGGAUUUAUCGUAGCGCUUGCAUCAAUCAAAACCACACUAUAC
rnacentral:lncRNA from 1 species